AGUUAAAAUAUUAUCCAAUCUCACCAUUUAUUUAUUAUAAAAUAUUAGAUACGAUACAUAAUUAAUUAAGAGAUGGAUGAGGUUUUUUUUUGUAUAUAUAUACUCACUUCAUUUAUUUAGGUGUGUGUGAGUGAGUGAUGAUGGAGUAGUCCUAGGUAAUAGUAACGGUUGCUAGAGAUGUAAGUAUCCCCAAACUUGCUGCCAAAGUUUGACCCACCGCAUCCUGAAGUAAGUUUCCAAUAAGGAUAACGGGAGCUACAAGGUUUCCUGUGGUUGGAGUCAAAGUGCAAUUAGCAAUUGGGAGAGGAAUCCUUGCAAUACAUGUUCCUGACAGAAGACUUGUAUUGGUGGACACUGCAGCAUUAAUAAUGCCUUGACUAUUUGCGGACACUUGAGCAAUCGUUGUGUUGCCACAAAUAAUCGUUACAUUUGCUCCAUUCACUCCGACGCCUGGGGCAUUACUUCCUGGUACGGAGCAAGACAAACUCCCCAAUAUAGUUAAAUUAAUAUUCGUUGGUAUAAUCGGUGGUACUUGACCACCAACAGGUGGUACAAUCGGUGGUAUACUAAUGGGUGGUACAAUCGGUGGUAUAUUAAUGGGUGGUACAAUGGGUUGGCCAAGAAUAGGACCAACAAUUGGACUGAGAAUAGAACCAACAAUCGGUAAUUGGCCAAGACCAACAGGUGGCACUUGACCAACGGGUGGUACAAUACGUGGUGGUGCAGGUUGACCCAAUAGGGGAUGCAAUAGAGUACCCACAAAGGGAAUGGGACCCAAAAUGGGACGAACAAUGGGACCAAGGUUAAUAGGCAAUUGAGCAUGGGCUAGAGGACUGGUGGUGAUGAUGGAAAGUAGAAUAACAAGGGAAACAACACACAUUUUUGAAGACAUGAUGAUUUGAUAAUUUUUAUUCUGUUCAAUAUACCCUUUAUAUAGUGCUCCUUUUUAUUUACUCCACCCCUACCUUAACUUACCCCACCCCCCAACCUAUAUAAAUGAUUAAAUAUAUUAUCUUUCAUCCCUAAAUAAGACUUACAAAUAUCUCACAUAUAUCAUCAUUAGUUAGGUUGAAACUCAUCAACUUGAACAACAUUGGGACCAUACAAAUUAAUUAAUUCAAUAUCAUUUGACUUGUCAUAAGAAGAAAUUUUUUUUGUAAGCUGAGGCCAAAAGGCCUUUGGUUUGCCCAUAGGACUCCCUUUUUCUUUUCUUCUACCAUUAUUUUUAAAGUAAUUAAAAGUUGAAGAUUUAAAACAAAUACCAUAAAUUUAUAUUUUUUUAAUUAUUAAAGUAAUUUACACAAUUUAUUUAUUUUUAUUUAUUUUAAAUAUAACCUUUUAAAAUUGGUGUUAAAUCUUUAUAUUUUGGUAAAAAAUUAGGUGUUCACAGUGUGAUUGUUAAUCACUUCAUUAAAAAUUAAAAAAGUUUAAGUAGAAUUUAGAUAAAAAAAAAAUAAGUAAUGUCUACUAAUUAUCUUGAAAUCUAAUGGGUUUAUCACAUUGUUCGAAAUGUAUUAAAAUAUCUAACAUAUAAUUUUAAAAUUGAAGAGAGUUAAAAUUAUAGUAGAAUAAAAGAGAGAUGAAAUUGUGGUAAAAACUGACAUUGAAAGUGAUAAGUUAAUGAAGAUGACAAUGAAUUUUUGAAGAAGAAGGAAGAAAGAAAAAGAAAAAAAUAAUAAGGAGAAAAAGUUAAAAUAAUACGAAAAAUUAAAAAAUAUAUAUAUUUUAUAGUAAAAUUCUUGUAAAAAUAAAAUUAUAUUCGUUUUUUUAGUUUGUUCACGCUCUUUAAGAGAGCGCAUACACUUUCCGUGUCAGGUAAACAAAAAAUGAUGUAAUAAUAUCAAUUCAAAAAUAUUUAGGGAGGGUAAUAGGAUACUUGCUUAGUUUAGAUAUUUUUAUAAAAAUUCGAGACAACUUCAAGUAACAUUUUAUGUCUUUUCUCUAUAUGCUAAAAACCUUUUAAGUAGUAGUGUAUGGAUCACCAAUAUACCACUGACUUUAUAUAUAUAAUAUAAUAUGAAGUAUUUUGUAGAAGAGCCAUGAGUUUCACAAAUAUGUCCAGAAGUAGCAUAACAAAAAUAAGUAGAAUUAGUUAGAUUCGAAUGCACGAUUACUUCUUCAUUUCAAGAAGGUGAAAUCAUUAGGUUAUAAUUAUAAUUUUUUUAAUGUUAAGGAUGUUCAAAAUAUGCUAUUUAAUCAUUUCGUAUGUAUUUUACUUGUUUAUAUGAUAGUUAUUUCUGACGAAAAUCGGACACCCUUAUCACCACGUGACUACGCCACCGGAUGUAUCAAGCUUUAAACACACAGAAAAAUGAGAACUAUAUUUUCUGGUUUUCUGGUAAGAAAAAAAAUAUAUUUAUGUUAAUAUAAUGGCACGAUAGAUGGGCAAGCAGGAGGUCAAUGUAUAUGUUUAAUUUACAUGAUACAGAUGAAUUAGGAGAGCAAUUAAAAUUUAUAUGAUUUAAAAAUAUUAUAAGUUGUUUAUUAUUGUGAAUUAUAGUAUUUUUAAUUUAUGUGACACAUAUAAAAUUUUAAGAGUCAACAAAUUCUUUAAUAAGUUUUAAAAUAUAUUUCAAAUGGUUAAUUAUUAUAAUUUUUAAUAUUUUUUACGCCCUAAACCUACAUCCUAAAUGUAUCGGUACUCAAAAAUCAUCUUUGAUCCCAAAUGAACCUUUAAUCAUAAGCGAAAGACUUACUCUAACAACAGAAAUCUCAAAACAAGAUCAACUCAUAAGAAUAAGUGCUCAACUCUCAAUCUUCAAAACAUCAAGGACUGAGAAAAAGAAGUAAAAUAUUUUUUGGAAGAAUGAAAGGGUGGUUUAUGGGGAGGGGGUUGGAUAAUAAUUUAAUUUUUAUUUAUACGGUGAAUAUUUUAUCUAUGUGAAAUGUCAAAGUGUUAAGAUUUUUCAAAAUAAAAAAUAGAGUACAUUAUACACACCACCAAGGUGUUUUCUCAAACUAAUAAAUACUAGUUUAGCUACAAAACUAAAUAAAAAGAUAGUUUAAAUGUGUUUUUAAUGGGGGUGUGCAAAAAUCGAACCGACCGAUAAAUUGAACCAAAAAUAUGUUAUUGGGUUAUUGAGGUUUUAAUGGGUUUAUAAAAAAAAAUUAAUGGGUUAUUGGUUCGUUAUCAGUUUUUACUAUUGGGUUAUUGGGUAAAUUAAUAACCCAAUAAGACGGUAAUAAUUCACUAUUUUACUCUUCCUAAUUAUUAAAUAUUAAUAAUUUAAUAUAACUAAACACUAUAACUAUAUCAAAUUAUUAGUACUCUCUCCCCUUCACACUAGGCCGCUUUACUAGUUUUUAUUGUUUACUAAAAACCUAAAGACUAUAGUAAGGGUUCACUAUUGUAGCUAUUUGAUUUUAAUUUUAGUUUAGUAUUAUUGGACUAUUUGAUAUUAAUUUUAGUUUGUAAUUGUAGGUUGUAGCAUUUGCAAGUUUGUGAAGGUCCGUAAUUUGAUUAACAUAAAAAAUCUCGUACUAUAUUUUGGCGGUGACAUGUAAUUAUAGCCUUUGUACUAUAUUUAGAAAAGUGAGAAGUCAUAUAAUAUUUUACGAACAUUUUUGUUACUGGGUAAAUCGAAAAUCAAACGUAUAACUACCAAAAAACGAUAAAGAAUAUCUUAUUGAUUGGUUAUCGGGUUAGUGUUGACACCCAAUUUUGGACCUCCACCAUAUAAAUAAUCAAUUCGAGCUUCUUCGAUUUUAGACGAUUUAAAAUAAUUAGUUUAUAAAAUUGUAAGAAAAUUUCAAAGUUUGCACCUUAUUUUAAAUAGUUUUGUCGCUUUAUAUAUAUAUAUAUAUAUAUAUAUAUAUAUAUAUAUAUAUAUAUAUAUAUAUAUAUAUAUAUAUAUAUUACACAACUAUGUAUACAAUUAAUAUAUUUUUAUGAUUACUCAAAAAUCAUCUCAAAAAGAUUUUACUUUGUUUAAAUAUUUUACUAAUUAGUUUAGUUAUAUAAUAGUUUACAUUCUUGAAUUAGUUAUUCUAUAAUUAAGUCGAUUAAUUUAUUUAAUUAAAAUUAAGAAGCUCGUUAAUUAAUUAUACUAAUUCAUCGAGUUUAAUGUCAAUCAUUUCACCAUUCAAUUUCUAAUUGGUUUAAGUAUACAAUAUUUGGUUGCCAAAAGACCAAAUUUGGGCCUCCAUUUUGAAUUGAGCAACUUUCACAUAUAGCAAAUAAAAAAUUCAUAUUUGUAUGCUAUAGCAAAGUUUGCAUAAUUGCGUUCCAUAGCAAACAUAGAAACUGUAUAAUUCGCUAUAUAUAUACAGUUGAAGCAAAUUGUAUAAAUUGAAGUGUAUAAAACAAGAAAGAGAAAGACACUUGGAUAGAGAACUGUAUAAAAAUGAAGUGUAUAAAACGAAUUGUAUUAUUAUAAGUGUAUAGAACCAUUUUAUAAAAUUUGAAUUUGUAUAAAAUGAGAAAGAGAGAAAGACAAAAGAGACUUGACAAGGAAUAUACAAUUGAAUCGAAUUGUAUAAACGAGAAAGAGAGAAAGGCAAAAGAAACUGUGCAGGGUAGUAUUUUUAUUGUAUAAUUACAAGUGUAUAGGAUGAAAAUAUAUGUAUUUGCAUGUGUAUAUACAAUUUUCUCACGCUUUAUACAAACAGAAACACAAUUUAUGCAUUUUGCUUCUCUUUGUAUAAGUGAUAAAGGCGAGGGUGGCGAGCGAGAUCUGGAAGAGGGAAGAGAGGGGAACAAAAAUAUAUGUAUUUAUGCAAUUUUCUCUACUUUAUACAAUUAGAAACAAUUUUUAUACACUUGUGUUUGUAUAAAAAAUGAGGAAGCGAGUGAGAUACCGGAGGAGAGUGGCGAGCUUGAUAUUUGGGAGAGAGGCGCCGGGAAUUUUUUUACAAACGUUUGGUAUGGAGCACAAUUAAAUCAAACUCUAGCUACUAUAUUUAUUUUAGGUUAUUAGUUUGCUAUUAUAUACAAUUUUCCCUUUUAAAGAGCAUUUCAGCCCAAUCUUAAAUUACAUCAACCAAACCAGCCACUCCAACUUCCUUUUUAAAUAGUAUAAAUUUAAGGAAUUCCAUAGUGUAAUACAAUUAUUACAUUCUGUCCCGACAAAUUUAGUAUUUACUAAUAAUCCCUUAAAAUUGUUGUGGCGUGAUACAUUAGUAUGUUGUGAUAUAUGGUAAAUAAUAUAUAGUAAUUUAAAAUUGUUAAGAUUAAAAGGGGGUAAAAUGGAACAUUUAAAUUUGUUAUCUAAAUCAGCUUAAAUUACGGUAACAGUUCAUUAAUAAGCAUUAAUUCAACACGUAAUUGGAUAACAAUUUCAAAUUUUGAAAAUUCAAGAUUAUAUCAUCUAGUUUGAAGACAUUUUUAUGAACAUCCAGUUAUUAAACUUAUUGACUGAUACAUGAUAACAAUUUUCAAAAACUUUUGAUACAUAGGAAAUCAUAUGAUACACAUCAAAUUCAUGUAUCAAUGCAUCGUCUAAACACUAUAACACACUGAGUCGAUAUGUAUCAGCAAGCACACUUGAUGGCGCAGUUAUUAAGCUUAUUGACUGAUACAUGAUAACAAUUUUCAAAAACUCUUGAUACAUAGGAAAUCAUAUGAUACACAUCUAAUUCAUGUAUCAAUGCAUCGACUAACACACUAUAACACACCGAGUACUUAUGUAUUAAACUUAUUGUCUGAUAUAUGAUAACAAUUUUCAAAAAUUCAUGAUACAUAUGAGAUUCCUUUACUAAAAUUUUUACUAAUUUCAACAACAAUGGUUGCUGCUUCUUUUCUCUUUUUUGGGUGUAUUUUGUCAACCUUUGCUUUAGAUGAUUCGCCAAAAUCUUUGUUUGAAUCCUUCCGAACAUUCAUAGGAUCAUGCAAAGAUUUUUUUUUAUUUUCUUUCCAAUUUUCAUCGUCCGAAUCAUAAAUCCUUCUAUUAGUAAAAGGAUUCAUUAAUAUGAUGUAAUAGAACAAUGAACAGAAAUAAAAUAAAAAAAAGAACGGAUGAUGGAGUAAGAAGAAAAAGAAGACCUAGAGACGGCUGAUGUAAUAUAGAAAUGAACAAGAACAAAAAAAAGAACAGAUGAUGGAUUAAGAAGAAGAAAACUAUAGACGGAUGAUGGAGUAAGAAGAAGAAGAAGAACCAUAGAACAAUGGUCCAAUUUUCAGAAAUUUCAAAUUUUUUGAAUUUUGAAAUUCAAAAUUUCAUAUUAAAUGUUGUGAAAUGUUUUUAAUUAAAAUUAAUAAUUCAAAAUUCAGAAAGUGAUUCAUGAAUGUUUUAGUGGAGAAAAAAUAGGCAUGAUAUUGGGGAAGUGUGUGUUAUAGGAGAGAGAAGGCUAUGUAUCUCUAAACUUCUACUAAAAAAAGAAAAUUAUGUAAUAUUUAUAAAAAGAAGGGAAAAUUAGAGAAUACUAAACUUAUAGUUGUGUAUUUAAGUUAUUUUUCCUUUUAAAUAUACCGGCCCAACUUUAUUAUUCCCAAAUGGAAAAAUUACAUAAAUUAAUAUAUUUUAAAAAAUAAUUACUGAUUUUAGUGAUACUUUUUGUUUAUUACCAUUUAUAGCAAUGCUUUGUUAAAUCUAUAAUAUGUAUUAAAAGUGAAUUAUGUAUGCAAUAUAUAUGAAUUAUAAUUGUUUUUUGAAAUAAAUCAUGUUUGUUUGAUAAAAAAUUAUCACAUUGUAUUUUAAGUGUAUUAAAGUGUGUGAUAAAUUUAUUAUUCAUCAUUAAAAUUUGUAUUAUAUGUGAAUAAUAAAUUGUUCUUUGUAAUAUGUAUUAAACUUGUAUUAUAAAUGAAUUAAAAGUGAUCAAGUGAGGUAAAAAUAUUAUUGCUAUAAAUGAUAAAUAUUUUUUAUUAUAGUAUAUUUAUAUAAGUUUCCCUUCCCAGAUUUACCCCAACCCGGCCCAAUUCUAUCUUUAACAAGAGAACCCAGUAGUGUUCCAAACCGUAAGCCGACAAAAGUUCCAAGCACCAAAGUUUACGGACGGAAAACCAUUACACAACGCCUUCACGCCUAACUUCAAUGGUAAAAGCAGCGCGUGGAGGGCACCAAGAACAAAUAGUUAUUUAGUUUGUGGUUCGAUAUUGUAAUACUUCUGUUCAACUGAUUUGAGAUUUAUUUCUUGAUGGUCGCAAGUCAUUAGAAUUUUGAAAUGUUUUUGAUUUGGUGUCGGCUGGAAAUCAGUGGUGCAACUUGAAAUAUUGUUGUCUCAUUUGUAUGAAGUUUUAGGUCUUCCUGCCUAUAUUGCUGAUGCUCCUGAUUUUGACAUAUUGAAAUCGCUAUAUUUGUGUUUUGUAGUGUUGUUGUUGUUGUUGUUGUUUCAUUAAGUCGCCAGAGAUAUCACACCCUUUUUCUGCGCGUGGCGUAAGACGGUAAGGGUUUUUCCAAUUUAAGUGACGUUAUUGAUUAGGGAAUUAUUUUAUUUUUCAGCGUCGCCACUUGGAUUUAAGUUAUGGCAAGUCAACUUUUCUUUUAAUCCCUAACCAAAAGGAAAUAACUCUUUAUUUUGGUCCGUGGACCAGAAAUUUAGGUAAGGAAUCCUGUUGAAUGAGGAGAAGGUAUUAGGCAUCCUUCGAGUCCCGUGGUUCUAGCACGAUCACUUUUAUUGACUUAUAUUUAUUUUAAAAUAUUUUUGGAUAUAUUAUUUUUAGGUAUUGACUUGUUUGCAUUUUUAUUCUUGAACUUUUAUUUAGUCUCAAAUCAGAUGCAUAACUGCAUUCUCGACUUUGACAUUUGGAGACAUAAUUGUCUUCAUCUCUCAAGUUCCUCCCACCUAAUAAUUGUCUAUAAGUGUCACUCUAAAUAUUUAUAUUUAUAAACAAGGUGCGUCACCGCAUCCUUGAAUUUUUAAUGUCUCAAAAAGAUGCGUAACCACAUUCUUGAUUGAAAUAAAUAUUUAUUAAUAUGUCGAAAAAUAAUUUAUUUUAUUUUAUUUAUUUAUUUAUUUAUUUAUUGGUCUAGAUAUACCUACUUUAUCAUUAUUAUUUAAAUCAAGAAAAGCUGUAGCUAUAGUGAAAUCAACGUAGUACAAAAUUGAAAAUUGGAUUUCAUUAAGUAAAAAGAUAGAAGGGUUUAACAACAACACAAACUAAUUAAAUUUUAGCUUACAACCUUGAAAUAAUAAUAAUAAUAAUAAUAAUAAUAAUAAUAAUAAAACAAUACUACGACAAGAAUCAUCAACCACAUACAUAAUAAGAGAGAAUAGACAAACAAAAAUUUCAAUACAACCCUGAAAUAACUAUAGAUAAUAGAAAUUUGGAUAUUCAUUAAACUAUAUAUAGUGAAUAUCCUGAUACUAUAUUGCCUAAUUCUCGUUUCUAGGUACAUCAUCUAUAACAAACACGCCUAUUGAAACCCUUCAUGGAGGCGUAUAUUGGUGCUCAAUCCUUUUAUAACGAGGCGUAUAUAAGUGCUCAAUCCUUUGGUUUUGUGAUCCGCCAUGAGAUAUAGAGCAAGUCUUUUUCUAUUAAACUUAUUUCUUUUAUUGUAUUUUUUUGGGGGCCGGGGGGUGGGGGGGGGGGGAGGUGGACUUGAUAUACUCCUUAACUUUGUGAUUUAGAGUUGAUAUAUCCUCGUUAAAAAAGUGGGUUACAUGUACUCAUAUUAUUAUAUAAAUAAUGUCUUCAAAUAUACCAUUUUGUUCUAACGGGAGUGAAAACAAAUAGUUUUUUAAAUGCAUUUUUUUAUUUAUUUUUAAGAAGUAAAAUUUGAAUAUAUAAUCUUAGAACUUUUCUAGAAAAUAUACUCGUAUAUUGAUAUUUUAGUGUGUUUUUAAAAAAAAAAUUAAAACAAUAUUUCACUUCCAUUAGAUGAAAAGGUUAUAUGUGAACCACUUUUAUAAUGGUAAGACUAUAUAUGAACCACUUUGAAUUUAAAUGUGCAUUAUUUUAUAAUGAGCGACAUAUAAAUUCUAAUAAAUUAUAAAGUAGAAGAGUAUAUCAAGACCUUUUAUGGACUUUGGUAUUUAGAGAUUUUGUUAAUUAAAGUAGAGGAGUCGUAUAUAUAGGUGAAUAUUGAUAUGCUGCAACAUGUGUUAUUUAUUUUAAUGUGUGUAUUAUUGAGUAGUUAAACGUGUUGGGAGCCGUGCGUGCAUAUAUGCAUUUCAUGACAUAUAUAAUAAUAAUAGAGUGAAAAGAAGAAGAAGGCAGAAAUGAAUUGAAAAUAAAGGAAGUAGUUAAAAUAUUAUCCAAUCUCACCAUUUAUUUAUUAUAAAAUAUUAGAUACGAUACAUAAUUAAUUAAGAGAUGGAUGAGGUUAUAUAUAUAUAUAUACACACUCACUUCAUUUAUUUAGGUGUGUGUGAGUAUAUCAAGACUUUUUACGGACUUACAUAUUUAGAUAUUUUAGAGAUUCUGUUAAUUAAAGUAGAAGAGUAGGUGAAUAUUGGUAUGUUGAAAACAUGUGUUAUUUAUACUCAUGAAUAGAAUAAUUAAGUAGUAUAUAAUUGUUGUUGUUCAUCUUGUAUUCCAAACAUACUUAGAACAAAACUUUGAACAUCUUUGUAAGAAAACAAAGUUUAAGAACAUUUUCACAACUAGAAAAUUAAAACUAGUAGCGAAACUAGAAUCAGAAACAGAUUUUUUUAAAAAAAUAUACGAAAUAUUUUUCUUAAAGAGGAAUUGUUGUUAAUAUGUGUCUAAAUAAUCUUACUGAUUCCAACAAACUUUGCAGAAACACGAAGUUACCAAGUUUAAUGAACCAGUGAAGAACAGAAGAAUAGAAGAACUGAAAUUAAUUGACAAAUCUAAAAUUUGUAAAAGACGUACCAGAAUCUGAAAAUUUUUAAUAGGAAAAAGAUCAAGUCCACUGAAUUCACAGUGUCCCCUUAAGGAAAUUAUUAGUUAAACGUGUUGGGAGCCGUGCAUGCAUAUAUAUAUACAUUUCAUGACAUAUAUAAUAAUAAUAAUAAUAUUAUUAUUCAAUCUCACCAUUUAUUUAAUAUAAUAUUACAUGAUAAUUAAGAGGGCACUUCAUUUAUUUAGGUGUGUGUGAGUGAUGAUGGAGUAGUCCUAGGUAAUAGUGACGGUUGCUAGAGAUGUAAGUAUCCCAAAAAUUGCUGCCAAAGUUUGACCAACCACAUUCUCAAGUAAGUUUCCAAUAAGGAUAACAGGAGCUACAAGGGUUCCUGUGGUUGGAGUCAAAGUGCAAUUAGCAAUUGGGAGAGGAAUCCUUGCAAUACAUGUUCCUGACAAAAGACUUGUAUUGGUGGACACUGCAGCAUUAAUAAUGCCUUGACUAUUUGUGGACACUUGAGCAAUCGUUGUGUUGCCACAAAUAAUCGUUACAUUUGCUCCACUCACUCCGACGCCUGGGGCAUUACUUCCCGGUACGGAGCAAGACAAACUCCCCAAUAUACUUAAAUUAACAACACGAUCAACAACAGGUGGUACAAUCGGUGGUACUUGACCACCAACAGGUGGUACAAUCGGUGGUACUUGACCAACAACAGGUGGUACAAUCGGUUGGCCAAGAAUAGGACUAAGAAUGGGACCGACAAUUGGACUGAGAAUAGAACCAACAAUCGGUAAUUGGCCAAGACCAACAGGUGGUACUUGACCAACGGGUGGUACAAUACGUGGUGCAGGUUGCCCCAAAAUGGGACCCAAAAUGGGACGAACAAUGAGACCCAAACCUUGAGCAUGAGCUAGAGGACUGAUGGUGAUGAUGGAAAGUAGAACAACAAGGGAAACAACACACAUUUUUGAAGACAUGAUGAUUUGAUAAUAUUUUUUUCUGUUCAAUAUCCCCUUUUUAUAGUGCUCCUUUUUAUUUACUCCACCCCUACCUUAACUUACCCAACCCCCUAAUUUAUAUAAAUGAUUAAAUAUAUUAUCUUUCAUCCCUAAAUAGCAUUAUUAAAGACUUACAAUAUCUCCCUAUAUCAUCAUUAGUUAGGCUGAAACUCAUCAACUUGAACAACAUUGGGACCAUACAAAUUAAUUAAUUCAAUAUCAUUUUGACUUGUCAUAAGAAGAAAUUUUUUUGUAAGCUGAGGCCAAAAGUAGGGUGGGCAUUCGGUAUUUCGAUUCGGUUUCAGUUUUUUUUCCGAUUUUUUGAUUAUUGUAAAUUGUGUACCGAAUACCGAAUCAAAAUAUUUUGGUUCAGUUUGGUUUUUGUUAAUUCGAUUCGGUUUUUUAUUUCGGUUUUUUAUGUUGAUGGCGCGGCUGCUAGCUGCUGACUGGUUGAAUGUUGAUGGUGCCUGGCAGACGGCGUGGCGGCGCUGCUGCUAGUUGCUUGACAGCGCGGCGGCGCUGCUGCUGUCUGCUUGACGGUGCGGCGGCGCUACUGCUUCUUUUGGCGGCCGGCCGGCGCAGCUGCUACUUCUCGCGGCUGCUGCUGCUUCUUCUGGCGGAUGGCCGGCGCUGCUGCUUCUUCUGGCGGACGGCCGGCGCUUAUGCUGAAUCUGGCUGGAGGAGAAGAAGAAGAAGAAGAGGAAGAAGAGGAGAGGAAGAGGAAAGACCAAGAGGAAAACAAAUCAGUAGAAAGAUGAAAGAGAGAGGAAUAGGGCCCGUAGGGUUUCUUUUUAAAAAAAUUAUUUAAUAUUAAUAAUUAUUAAUUAAUAUAAUAUAAAUUAUAGUAUAUUAUUUCGGUUUAAAUCGAAAUAUCAAAAACUAAAAUAAUACAUACCGAAAAUCGAACCGAAAUACCAAAAAAUAUAAAAAAGUAAAUCGAAAACCGAACUGAAAACCGAAAUAUCGAAACCGAAAUUUUGAAAAAUUUCAAUUUCGUUUGGUGUUUCGGUUUUCCGAUGUUUGCUCACACCUAGCCAAAAGGCCUUUAAUUUGCUCAUAGGAACUAUUUUGAUGGAAUAAAUAACUCCACUUGGUUUGGGUGUCAAAAAAAACAACAAUAAAAAUAACAACAACCAUCGAAGAUUUUUGAAAAUAGUUGUGUGAUUGUUAAUCACUUCAUUUAAAAAAAAAUUAAUGUUAUAUCAUGUUUUUAAUUAUAAUAAACUACACUAUAUAAUAAUAAUAAUAAUAAUAAUAAUAAUAAUAAUAAUAAUAAUAAUCAAGGGCAAAAAGCUAAUCUACUUGGUCAACAUAAAAUGACUUUUAAGUUGAAAAAAAAACACCCCUCACCUAUCUUUUAGAUUUUGGCAUAAAAUAAGUCAUUUUGGACUUAAAAUAAGUCACUUUGAUAAUUGUCAAACACUCAAAUAAAUCAAAAACUGAAUUUUAAAUCAGUUUGACCAGCUUUUAAGCCCAUUCCAAUAGGCUCUAAGUGUGUAAAUAACUUUUCGAUACAAGUUCAAGGUGAAAUUUAUGUCUUUUCCCUUUGAAAUACCUAUCACAAUACUUUAUUUCUCACGCCAUGUAUUCAUGAUAUAAUAAAAAUAUAUAUAUUAAAUAUUGAAUAAGAAAUUUAUGGGUGCCUCGACUAUGUUAAAAAAAGACAUAUGUCUUAGGUCCCCCAAAUUUAAGGGGCCUCAUUUUUAAUAAUAAUAGGUUAUAAGUUAUUAUUUUUUUAACAAAUAUUGAAUACUAUUUAUAGAAAAAGUAAAAUUUUUCAUGAAAAAUAAAGGAAUUAUAGAAGAAAUUUGACAUGUUUGAAGUAAUAUAUCUCAAGAAAAAUAAUUUAAAAUAAGAAUGAUUAUAUUAUCAAUUGAAAACUAGAAGAAAUCAAUUAUAUGAAGUUAUUGACGAUUCAAGUCUAAUGAUCUAUUUAAUUUUUGAUUUAAGCCACUAAUAUACUUAAGUCACUUCUAAAGAAAUUUUGAUAUUUUUUCAAAGAAAGAUGUAACAUAAAAGUUAUAAUAAAAUAUGUCUUUUACUUUAUCAGAAAAUAUCAAGAGAACGUGGGAUGAAUGCAUGAGUUAAUUUGACAAAGUUUUAUCAUUCAUUACAAUAUUAUUAAAAUUAAUAAUCUAUCUUAUUUAAUGGCUCAAUAAGUGAAUGAAAAGACAUGUUAAAACUAAUGUAAUUAAGUAUUUUACUUUUACAAAUUAUGACUUAUUAAAACUAAUGUAAUUAAGUAUUUUACUUUUACAAAUUAUCAAAAAUUUCAAAGGACUAAAUCGUUAUGUCAGAAGUGAUUUUAUUUUCACGGUGUUAAGUGAAAUCGCUAAAUCACUGACCUACCAGCGAUUUUGUUCAUAUUUUUUUCCUAUUUUUUUUAAAGGCAACGAUUUUAGUGGAUUUUUUUCCUUACAUCUCGUAAUUUGAAAUAACUAAGAAAUCAAGAAUAAACAAAAUCGCUUCUGAUAUAGCGAUUUAGUGCUUUUAGUUUUAAAAAACUUAAUGUACCCUUUUGAAAUUUUUAAUGUUUUUUUUAACUCAAAGAAAAUUUUUGUAUGGGUAGUGUUUUUGGAUUUUUUUUUAGAAAAAUAAAAUUGCUUUACUGUCGCAUUUUUAUUUUAAUUGUUUUUAAUAUCGCUGCCUAAAAAGCGAUUUAAGUGGGAAAUUAUUAUACUUUUUGGCAAAUGGUAGCGAUUUGUGUGGAAUAUUUUUUAUUUCUUUCUUUUUAAAAAUCUUGGCAACUCUUUAGUUAAAUAACUUUUAUUAAGAUAUUGCUGGCAAUUAUUUUUUAAAAAUUCGUUUUAAAUGUUGGUAAUCAAUUUUAAAAAAUAAUUAUACAAUUUUUUUAAAAAAAAAAUUGGCACUGAUAUUUUUUUUUAAAAAAGAACUUCCACCAAGCAGCGAUUUUUUAUAUAAAAAUCACGAAAAUAGCUGUCAAGAAUUUUUUUUCCAUUAAAACGCUGUUUUUUUUAAUAUAUAAAUGUUGCAUUGCAGUGAUUUAAAAAAAGAGAAAAUUGUAUAUAAUAUAGUAAACUAAUAAUAUAAAAUAAAAUGAAGCAGCUAGGAUUUGAUUUAAUUGUGCUCCAUAGCAAAUGUUUGCAAAAAAUUGCCAGACACCUCUCUCCCAAAUAUCUCGCUCGCCACUCUCCUCCAAUCUCUCGCUCUCUUCCUCACUUUUUAUACAAACACAAGUGUAUAAAAAUUGUUUCUAAUUGUAUAAAGCAGAAAAAAUUGUAUAAAUACAUAUAUUUUUGUUUCCUUCUCUCCUCUCUUCUAGAUCUCGCUCGCCACUCUCCCAAAUCUCGCUCGCCACCCUCGCCUUUCUCACUUAUAUAAACAGAAACGAAAUGUAUAAAUUGCGUUUCUGUUUGGAUAAAGCGUGAGAAAAUUGUAUAUACACAUGCAAGUACAUAUAUUUUCGUCCUAUACACCCAGUUUCUUUUGCCUUUCUCUCUUUCUCAUUUUAUACAAUUUUCAAAUUGUAUCUAAUUUCUUUCUUCCUCGUUUUAAGUAAAGUUAUCAUUACAUAAAUCAAAUGGAGUGAGCUCAAACUUUAGUUAAUUUUUUUUAAAAAAAAUAUUUUGUUGUUUAACAAUUUUUAAAAUGAAAAUGCUAAACCUUUUUCACAAUUAUGUUUUAUAGUUUUUUUAUCAAUAUCUAGUCGAUGAUAACCAUAAUUUUAAUAUAAAUAAUAUAAUAAGGUAACUUAAUUCUGAAAUUCAAGUAUUGAUAUUUUUGAGAAAAUAUUUAUUUAGAAAUUGUAAAACAUUCAUAAUCUAAUAUUUAAUAUGUUUCUUACUCUCAACGAAUGACACUAAUUCAUCAUGAUUCAAAAUUGUAAGAAGUAAAAAUCAAUACUAAAAAGUGCAACUCAUUAUUAUAUGAAGUUUAAUAUGUAGUUUAUCUAUUGUCGAAAGUUUUCCAAGUAUAUGAUAUAUAAUUCUAUGAUAAAUUAAUUUUUGAUCCCAUAUAUUUAUACUAUUUUCAAAUUUAUACCGUUAAUUGAUUAUAUAUUUUCUUAAACUACAAUUACGCGAUCAUUAUUUAUCAAUUCUACUUUAUCAACUUUAUAUUCUUCUUUUUUAUAUCUUUAGAAUUGUGCUAUUUUUGUUUUCUUAUUUAAGUUACAAUUUUAAAGAUAAAAUAAAUAUUUUUUGGAGAUAAAAUAAGUUAAAUAAAAAACUAUAUGAAUACUUAUGUUGAAAAAAAUUAUAUAUAAUUAAAAAAUUGUCCUAUUUUUAUUUUCUUAUUUAAGUCACAAUUUUUAAAGAUAAGAUAAAUAUUAUUUUGAGAUAAAAUAAGUUAAAUAAACUAUAUGAAUACUUUUGUUUAGAAAACAUUAUAUAUAAUUAAAAAAAUUACAUAUAUGAAAGAUUAUAAAAUUAUACUGGUUAUGUUGUAGUAGUAAUAAACAUAGAUGAACAAUUUGAAUUGUCAAGAGUAUAAAAAUAAAAAUAUUUUUCACAUUAUUAUUAUAUCAAACAAAUACAAAUUGAUUUUCAAAAAGAAUAAUAAAAUGUAUUUGUGGGUCACACAUGAAACAAAAAUUAUGUGAUUCUUGAAAAAAAAUAAUAGAUUCUUCUAGAAAACUAUUUUGACAAUUAAUUAUACAAUUAUAAAUUUAAAACUUUGCCCAUAAAAAUAAUUAAAAUUACAAAAUUGUCAUUGAUUGGCCUCAUCAUGACUCUUAUGUAUAAUAGAAACUAGACAAUUGAAGGCCCGUUCAUGGGCUCAAUAUAAUUAAUUAUUUUUUUCAAUUUUAAGUUAAAAAAAUUAUCCAAAUUAAUAUCUUAUUUUAUCAUAGUUUCUAAAAUUUUCUACUAUUUAAACAAUUACAAAAAUGUCCUCUCAGAUACAUUCUUAUCCUCUGUCGGACACAUCAGUAUCUCCUCUCGAAUACAUUCCUAUCAUUUCUUGAAUACAUCUUUAUCUCAUCCUGAAACAUCCAUAUCCUCUCUUGGAUACAUCUCUCCCCUUUCGGAUACAUUCAUUCUCUCUCGAAUACAUCCCUACCUUCUCGGAAUCAUCGUGAGCUCUAUGUCUGCAAGUUUCCUCAAUAGCAAUGUAUCACGAUCGAUGUAUCCGCAUGUGUUGAUUUAUCUGAAAUUAUUUAAUUUUAAAAAGAUUUCGUAAUUUGAAAAAAGUAGGAAUAUAAUGUAAUUAACUCUUUACUCUAUGACAUAUUUUUCUUUGUAGUCAGUUUCAAAAGAAUGAUGUAUAACAUAUUUAAAUAACAUUUUGACUUUAAAAUAUUCAUUCUAUUCUUAGUAAUAUUAUUUAUAGUCAUAUGAACAUCUAUGGUUUGUUUUAGACCAUGAGUUUUAAAAGUGUUUUUUCUUUUAAAAAAUUUUCGUGUUAAGUUAAAUUAAAAUUUCAUAAACCGAAAGGGAGUGAGUACAAACUUUAGAUCAAUUUUAUAUUUAUAAAAUUAAAGUUUUUGUAACUAUUUUGUCUUUUAACAAAAUUUAAAAUGAAAUAAUUCACAAUUAUUUUUAUAGUAUUUUUUUAAAAUCAAUAUUCUAUCAAUAAUAAUAAAUUUUUUUAAUUUAAAUAAGAUAAUAAAGUAUUUUAAUUUUGAAAUUCAUGUAUUGAUAUCAAUUGAGAAAAUAUUUAAUUUUAAGUUGUAAAACAUUCAUAAUCUAAUAUUUAAUGUGCUCCUUACUCUCGAUGAAUGACACUAAUUUAUAAUAAUUCAAGAUUGCAAGAAGUAGAAAUCGAGACUAAAACGUGCAACUCACUAUUAUAUGAAGGUCACUAUGUAAUUUAUCUAUUGUGGAAGUCUCAUUAGUAUAUGAUAGAUAAUUCUAUGCCAAAUUAAUUUUUGUUUUCAUAUAUUUAUACAAUUUCAAAAUUUAUCCCGUUAAUUGGUUAUGUAUUUUAUUAAACUACAACUGCACUCAUUAUUUUAUCUUUUUUUUUAUUCUUACAUUAUCAACUCUAUUUUUUUAUCUCUUUAGAAUUGUGAUACUUUUGUUUUCUUAUUUAAAUCACAAUGUUUUAAAGAUAAAACAAAUUUUAUUUUGGAGAUUAAAUAAAUAUUAUUUUGAAGAUAAAAUAAAAAAAAGAUUUACUAACCUACAACCAGGAAGAUCCACUUUGAAACCCAGCGACGAAGAAAACUUUGAAACUCUUAGCCGCGAAAUGAGGGUGAAAGAGUAAAAUCAUUUCUGGAAAAUAAUGAAACGAGGGGAAAAAAGCGUAAUAAAGAUUUAAGGAAUUAGUCUAUGUGGUAGUGGACCCUAUUGACAUGCAAUAUGGAAUUCACAUAGCAUUUAACAACUUCUCUUAAUUAGAAGGGCAAUUUUGACCCAAUAGUUUCACGGAAAGGGUACUUUUGAGCCGAAAUAUACUUUAAGGGUAAAUAUGAGUUAUUUCAGAUAGUUUAAGAGUAUUUUUUACCCUUUUACUUUUAGUCUACGUGGUAGUGGAACCCUAUUGACGUGCAAUGUGAUGGCAUUUAACAACUUCCAUUAAUAAGAAUUGCACUUUUGACACAAUAGUUUGACGGGGAGGAGAGUUUUGAGCGGAAAUAUAAUUUAAGGUAAAUAUGAAAUAUUUCAGAUAGUUUAAGGAUAUCUUUGACCCUUUUAUGUUAAAACUAUAUGAAUACUUAUGUCUAAAAAACAUUGUAUAAAAUUAAAAGGAAAUUAAAUCAUGGAAGAUGGUAGGCUAUACUGAAUAUGUUGUAGUAACAACAAACAUAUAUAAACUAUUAAGUUGUAUAAAUAUUUUUUAUUUAUUAUAAUCAAACAAAUAAAAGUUAAUCUUUAAAAAUUAAAUAAAAUGAUUACAUGGAGUCCCAUGAAACAAAACUUUUUGUGACUCUUGAAAAAGAUUAUUGGAUACUUCUAGAAAAUUAUUUUGACCACUGAUUAUGCAAUUAUAAAGUUGUAAUUUUGCCCAUAAAUAAUGUUUAAAAUUACAAUAUUGUCAUUGGUCAUCCUAAUCAUGACUCUUCUAUAUAAUAGAAAUAAUAAUAACUAGAUAUCAGGUGCCCGUGCUAACGCAAACGCAACGUAUGUUAGAUUUUUCUUCUUCCAAUUUAUGUGACAAAAAUGAAAUUUGAAAAAAAUGAACUAAAUUUUUUAUAUGUGUUUUUUUUAAAAAAUAUUUUAAAUUAUUAAUUUAUGUAUCUUUUUUGUCAUUUUCGAAUAAUAUAUGUUACUUUAUCUAUUUUAUUUUAUAUGAUACAAGUGAUUUUAGGAAAGUAAACGAAAUUUCUUAUAUGAUUUUCAUAUAUUUUUAGUUGUCAUUUUACUGCGAUUCAUAGUACUUUUUAGUUAUUACGUUAUUUUCAAACAAUAUAUGCAACUUUUUUUUUGUUUCAAUAAAAAUAAGGGAGUCAACAAAAUUUCAUUAUGUUUUUUCAACUACAUUUUUCUAAAAAUAUUUUAAAUUGUUACAUUGCUUUUUAAAGUUUUUUUAAAUGUAACUUUCAAAUAUGUAACAAAUUAGAAAUUAAAACGAAGAAUUAAAGUUUUCAAAUCAUUAUAUUUCUAUAUUAGAAUAUUAAAACCUUUAAAACUACAUAUAUAUGCAUAAAUUAGUAGAAGGAAGCCUAACAACUUAUUUUUAAAAAAAUAUAUGAGAGCUCAUUUUAAUAGUAAUACAUACAUAUUUCAUUUUUCAAUAUCCGAAUCCCUCCUUUUCGAUUUAUAUAAAUUUAAUUUAAUUUAAUUUUUAUUUUGUUUCAAAAAGAAAAUAACUUCUGAAUUUUAUUUGUUUAUAAAGCAUAUUUAAGAUCACAAAAUCAAAAAAAAAUAUUUCAAUUCACAAAAUUUAAAUAUACAUAUAAAUUUUAAUUUUAAUUUUGAUUGGUUCCACCUAAUAUUAUACUUGAUAUAUAAUUAUUAAGAGCUAAGCGUAAUCAUUAUCUAUUUACUUUCGUAUAAUAAAUAGAUAUCACAAUAACUCUUAAAAAAUGAAGAAAUAACGAAAAUGAGAUAAUACUAAUAAUAAUCACUAAAGAUUUUCUAGAACUAGUUAAAUUUCUUGUUAUCAAUCGUGUUAGUUUUUUGCUUGCAUAAAUUACAUUUUUACCUUCGAUCAUCAUUCACUUCAUAUAUAGAAAGAUGUUUCUAGAAUUAUUUAUUCUUGAUAAAUUAUUGUUAGAAUGAAAUUACAUUUUAUUCUUAGUCGUCUUUAAUACAAAGUAUCAUCCUAUUCAUUUUUUAUUUGUCAAGUUACUUUUUAAGAUCUUUUUCUUUAAUUUCAGUCUAAUAUAUAUUAUUAAUUUAUCACACUUAUUUAUUUUCAAGUAUAUUAUUAGAGUCAAAAUAAAGAUGAAAAUAAUUAAUUCAUGAUAACUUUUUAUAUAAAAAGUAGGCAUAUAUUAUAAGCAUAAUGAAUAGAAAAAAAUAUUAAGAAUUAAUUUAAAGUAAUAGUAAAGUAGAGUAAUUAUAAAAUAGAUAUCACAAUAACUCACAAAAGAAAAGAAAGUGAAGUGAUAACAAAAUAAGUUAAUGGUAAUAAUAAUAACUUAAAAUAUUUCUAGAACUAUUAUUUUUAUUUUUUUUUGUUAUCAUUCUUCAUAGAUUUUUGUUAGCAUGAAAUUAUAUUUUUGCUGUAACGACCUGUUUAGUCGUUUGGAGCAGCAGAGUUAAUUUCUGAAAAUCACUGUCUGGGUCGACGGAUCCCACGACAGACCGUCAUGGGCACGACGGACCGUCGAGGGUGUCUCGUGCCAAAACACUUAGAAUUUAGAAAUUUGGGUACUGAGAUCGACUCUCUGAACUUCACGACGAAAUGGCAGGACGGACCGUUGAGGGCUCGACGGACCGUCACAAAUCCUUCCGCAGAAUUAACUCUCUGAACCUUGUGACGGACGUGCAGGACGGACCGUCACAGUUGUGACGGACCGUCACAGGCUGCGUGACCCUGACUGGGUCGGAUUUCUGUUAAAUAUUUUAAGGGGCGUUUUGGACUAUUCCUACUUAUAAUUAUAAAGUUAGUGGUUUAAUGUUAAUAAUUUAAUUACUUGGGGGUUAAAAGAGAGAACCUUGAAACAAAUAGUGGGAUAUUUUAUCAUCUUUUAUACUUAAUUAUAUGCUAAUUAGGGUAAAAGAAAGAGGGUUUGAAUAAGAAAAAGAAAAAGAACAGAGAGAGAGGGAGAAACGAUCGAUUGAGAGAGAAGAAGAACGCAGCUUUGGGAAAGUAGAUUGCUUGAUCACAAUCCUUCGGUGGAGGUAGGUUAUGGUUUAUGCUAUUCGUAGUAAACUCUUAAUAGCGAAUGAUAUGUAUUGGGUAGUGUUGUAAACCCUUCUAUAUGCUUAAUUGUAUGCUUGCAUGAAUGUGAUUAUAUAAUUGUGAUAAAAUAAGCAUGAUGAAGCUAUUGAAUCCUAAAUCUUGAAAAUCCUAAUCUACUUUGUUAAUGAUGAUGCCUUGGUAUAAAAGAAGGCUUGAUGAACGAAAGUAGUAAGAUUAGGGGAUCGGAGUGUCACGUUCCGACACCAGGAUAGUAUAUGGAUCGGGUGCCACGUUCCGGUACCAGGAUAGUAUAUGAGGAUCGGAGUGUCACGUUCCGACACCAGGAUAGUAUAUGGAUCGGGUGCCACGUUCCGGUACCAGGAUAGUAUAUGAGGAUCGGAGUGCCACGUUCCGGUACAAGGAUAGUAUAUGAGGAUCGGAGUGUCACGUUCCGACACCAGGAUAGUAUAUGGAUCGGGUGCCACGUUCCGGUACCAGGAUAGUAUGAUGAGGAUCGGAGUGUCACGUUCGGACACCAGGAUAGUAUAUGGAUCGGGGUGUCACGUACCGACACGAGAGAAAUAAAGAUAAUGAAUCUUGAAAGAUGUUAAUAUACUCAAUUUAAUGAACCUAAUUCCCAAAUGAGUAUGAUGGGGAGGCGUGAGUCCUCAUUGAUGUGCUUGGUGUUGUGACCAAGAGUUAUGAUAAUUAUAAAUGCCGCAUGUUGAGUAUUGUAGUUGAUUUUAUGAUAUAUCUGAUAUAUACUAUUUUCUAUUUUGAGUUGGCCGAUGAUAUCUACUCAGUACUCGUGUUUUGUACUGACCCCUACUUGUAAUUGUUUUUCUUUGUUAUUUGUGGAGUGCAGCAAACGUACCGUCGUCUUCAACUCAACCGCAACUCUAGCCAGUCUUCAUUACACCGGAUUUCAGGGUGAGCUAACGCUUCUAGCUUGGACUGGAUCUUCUUCUUCAUGUCUUGAUGCCUUGAAGUUCCGGCAUGGACUAGCUUUUUAUUUAUUCUAGCUUUCUAAAUACUCUUAGAAUUAGUAAUUUGAGGAUAGAUGUUCUUGUGAUGAUGACUUCCAGAUUUUGGGAAUAAUAAGUAUUGAGUUUUUAGAAGUUAUUUAACCGAUUUUCAUUAAUGAGUUUAAGUCUUCCGCAUUAUAUUCUGUUUAUUAUGGUUCAAAUGUUGGGGUUUAGAUUGGUUGGUUCGCUCACAUAGGAGGGUAAGUGUGGGUGCCACUCGCGGCCCGCUUUGGGUCGUGACAUUUGCCCUUGAUUAUUAUUCACUUCAUAUAUAGAAAGAUGUUUCUAGUAUUAUCAAUUAUCUUGCUUAAUAGAUUUUUGUUAGCGUGAAAUUACAUUUUUGCCCUUAAUCGUCCUCCCACUUCACUCUUCUAUAUAAUUGAAUAGAAAUACAUUAUAUAAAAUAAAUAUUUAUAAAUGAUUAUAAGUUUUCUAUAUCCUUUUUAUAGUGAUUAAUUUACAAUAGGUAAAUGGAUAUGUAUGGGUAAUAAAAUAUAUAUGAGAAUAGUAAUUUAAUUGUGAUAUAUGGCAAAUUCAUCAAAUAGUCAGUCUCUAAUAAUUUAUAUAUUAGUAGUGAAGUAUAAUGUUAAAUUUUAAACGAGGAUUUACAUAACGUGAGAAAGACUUCUUUUCUUUUUUAUUUUCUCAAGAGAUUUUUACAUUUUAAAAUUAGUUUAUAACUUAACAUUAAAUUACUUUAUAUGUAUUUUACUUAUUCAAACUCUCACAUAAUUACUUGUACAUUUGUUUAUUUAUGGUCUUCAUAUAUAACCCCUAGUAUAGCCUUGCUAAACUAAAUUUUGAAAAUUAUUACUAGUAAGGUGUUUGUUUCCUCACCUCAUAUAUUUACAUCAUAUGCAUAAAAAUUAUGUAAAAUGAAUAACAUAUUUUUUUAUUUAUUUUUAAAGAGACUAGUUAUUUGGGGCCGCUAAAGCCUACUUCAAAAUUAGCAAAUCAAAAGAAAGGAAGUGUACCUAUCAACCAAGUAAAAAUGUCAACUACUUCUAAAAAGUUUGGACAAUUUUUAAGACUAUGAAAAUAUAGAGACAUAGUAAAAUAUUGCGUGAAUCACUUAAUAAAAUCGAAAACAUAAUAUAUUGGAGAUAGUUUUACUAAAAAUAAUUUUACAAUAAAAUUGAAAUGUGUACAUAUUUAUUGAAUUGUGGGUAUAGAGACAAUUUUUAAGCUUUUUUCUGAUUUACAUAUAUUAAAUCGCGAAAGAAGUCAUGUGUUCUUAAUAAAAUAAUCGCUAAUGGCAAUUAUAUUUGCUGCUAAAAUUCUUCCUCUAAAUAACUUAAUUUACACUUUUAGCGUUUAAGACGCAAUGUCCAUCUUAAACUAAUAAAUAUGAGAAAUAAAUAAACUCAAUUGGGGGAUAACAAUUUCUUAAUUAGUAUGUUAUAUAUACAUUAUUUCAAUUAUACUUUCGAGUUUUGAUAUUACGAAAAUAUAAUGUCAAACUUUAAAGACAAGAAUUUACAAAUGAGAACGACUUUUUUUUAAAAUAUAAUGUCAAACUUUAAAGACAAGAAUUUACAAACCAUGAGAACGACUUUUUUUUAUUAUACGUUUUAUUAUAUAUAUAUAUAUAUACAUACACACACACAUAUAUAUACAUAUAUCAUUGACUCUAUAUAUAUAAGAUAGGAAAGAGGUUAAAAUAUAUCAUUGAACUUUCAGAAAAAAACUCAUUUAUUCAUCAGUUAAAAGUUUGGCUCAUUUAUGCCAUUACCGUUUAAAAAAGAUUCAUUCUUGCCAUUAUUUUUUAAUAAUGGUUUCGCAAAACCAUUUUUAAUACGUGACCAAUUAUAAUCGGCUACGUCCUCAAUUUAUUUAAUUAAAAAAUCAUCAUUCUAAAAAAAAUUGAAUUCAUUUUUUUUGAUUUUUUUAUUAAAUAAAUUGAUGACAUGGCUAAUUAGAAUUCAGUGGGAUUUCUUAAAUUUGGGCGGGUCUUUAUUUGAGUGGGGUUUUUAUUUAAUGUUUUCUCAGAAUUGAUUUUUUAUCAAAAAAAAAUAAAAAAUGAUGUGGCCGAAUCAUAACUUGUCACGUGUGAAAAGUGGUUGGGCAAAAUCGCCGUUAAAAACUAAUGGCAUGAAUGAGUCUUUUCCUAAAUGGUAAUAACAUGAACGAGUCAAACUUUUAACGGAUGACAUAAAUGAGUCUUUUCUAAAAGUUCAACGGCAUAUUUGAGCUUUUUCCCUUAUUAAAAAAGUGGCUUACAUACACUCAUAUUAUUACAUAAAUAUUCUAAAAUAUACCAUUUUGUUCUAACGGGAGUGAAAACAAAUAUUUUUUUAAACAUAAUUUUUUAUUUUUAAGAAGUAAAAUCUGAAUAUAUUAUCUUCCACUUUCCUAGAAAAUAUUAUCCUACAAGAUUUUUUAUUUUUAAAAUUAAAAUUAAUAUUUUCACUUCCAUUAGAUGAUGAAGAUAUACCUGAAUCACUUUUAUAAUGGUAAGGAUAUGUAUGAACUCUUUUAAUUCAAAUGUGAAUUAUUUUAUAAUGAGCGAUAUAACAAUUUUAAAUUGCAAAGUUAUGAAGACCUUUUUAUUUAGGGAAAAGGGUCUGAUAUACCCCUCAACUUUGUCAUUUAGAGCUGAUAUGCCCCUUGUUGUGAAAGUGGCUCAUAUAUACCCUUACUUGUAAACAAAUGGCUCACAUAUACCCUUUUCCUCUAACGGAAAUGGAAAAAAAAAUAAUUUUAAUCUAAUUUUUUAAUAUUUUUUGUCUAAAAAUUAUAAUCCCAUAUGAGUAAAUUUAAUCCUCGUAAAACAUAUUUUUUUUAACCUUUUUUAGUUUCAAUGACUAAUUUAUAAUUAUUAUUUUGAUAAUCAAAUUUAUUUAUGUUUCACUAAUAUUCUUGUAAAACUUAUUGUAGAUAACCAAAUUUUUUCUUCGAAUAUGAAAUUAAAUUACAAUACACACAAAAAAUAGUUUAAAUUUUUUCUCUUUAAACUAAGGAUUGAAAGAAAAAACAUAAGAAUAAGAAACUCAAAUAAUUAUAAUAAAAAAAGUCAAAAAAUAAUUUAUAUAUGAAAAAAAUCAAAAUAUACCUUGAACUUUGAUAGAAGAAUCAUAUAUAUCCCUAAAUAAUUUUUUUAAAAAAUUACAAGUAAUAAAUAUCAAUUUAAAACUAAUUUUUUAACUUCCGUUAAAUGAAGGGUAUAUAUGAGCCAUUUUGUAACGGGAGGGGUAUAUGUGAGCCGUUUGUAUAACGGUAAGGGCAUAUAUGAGCCACUUUUAUAACGGGGGGUAUAUUAGCUCCAAAUAACAAAGUUGAGGAGUAUAUCAGACUCUUUUUCCUUUUAUUUAUUGUAUAAAAGCAUUUCAUAUACUAGUUACAUAUUUAAAUAUUGAAAAUGUUGAUAAGAGAUCCCAUUAAAUGCUAAAGUAUUGGUAUUUUAAAAAAAUUUCCUUUUAUUUAUUGUAUAUAUCUAACAUCUCGUAACUUCAAAUAACUAAGAAUAAACUAAGAAAUCAAGAAUAAUCAUUUUUGGAAAUAAAUAGGAAAUCUGAAAAAUUUCCCAAGUGUAAAAGUGAGUUUUUGGUCAAUUUCAAACGACCAUAACUCCCAGCUUAGGAGGAGUUAGUGUGAGUUCCUUAUAUGGUUGGAAAUCCCUUGGAAAGAAAUUUCCAACAACGCCAAGUUUGUACAUUUUAGAUGUCGUAUGAAGGAGAUAUGACUUUCGAAAGUUUGGUUGUUGGAGUGAGGAAAAUUCAAUCCGGAUUUAGUAAGGAUAAAGUAGUCUUUUCACCCUAGUAUUUUCUAAUUCGUUUUAAGGGUUUAUUAGGGGUAAAAUCAAGUCCAUAUUCAGUUUUGAAAAAGUUGAGAACGCUCAUGGCUUGGGAGAAAAGAGAAGAGAAAACCAAAAUUUCUUCAAGAACGCUAAGGUUUCGCUAGAGGAAUUCAUCGGGGGUGAUCUCUAUCGAGGUAUAUGAGAUCUUUCUAUGUUGGGUUCGUUCACCCACACACCAACAUGUUUAUUUAGCAAUUUUUGUAUUGAUUGAAUAAUGAAUCUUGAAGUUCUUGAUGAGCAAUUGUUGAAUCCUUAUUGGUAGAGUUGUAGUGUACCUUUAGUUGGUGUUGAUUCGUAUUUUCAGGCUGUUUUACGAGUCUAAACUAUUGGGUAUUGAGUAUAUUAGUGAUUGAUACGCUCAAACUUACUUUUUAAAUAAGAAGUAAAGCAGUAAAUGGGGGUUUCUAUUCCUAAAUAAAUGAAAAUAACUAGCGAAAUUAAAGGAGACAACUAACAACUUCGAAUGUUGGAGUUUAAUCACUUAAUCAAAGUAACUAGGGUUUACGUGUUCCCCACAGGUUCAUAACUUGAUAAUUCUAACUAUAACAAUUCUUUCCUAGUAUCUUGCAUGCAAAGUGAUAAGUUAUGUAUUUCUAAAUCCUUGGUCCGGCAUCUAGAAAAUUUCACUCGGCACCUUGGUCCGACUACGUGUGUUGCUAUACUAACCCUUAUAUUUACCUCAUAUUAAGCAUCGUAUUCGAUAUUUGACUAAGUUAUUACCCCGUACCAAUCAAUACUAGCCUAUUAGAUAGUAUACACUAAAUUUAUAUUGAUAAUUCUUUUCCUAUUAUCUUCCUCCUUGGUCCGACAAGUAGCAUUAAGGCGAGUUCUAACGUUGGCCAUCCGUUAAAAAGACUUCCAAGCGAAAGAAUUAUCAAUACAUGCAAGACACUAUUCUAGAAUUGUUAUUUUAGUUAGAUUUUACCUCAUUAUUCGCCUAUGGUUCCCACAACCCUAAUUAUGGAGUUUAGUUACCCAUAAUCAUAAUCACAAUAUUCAAAUAUAUGAUAUAAGAAUUCAUGCACUUACUUCAAUGAGAAAGAGUAAAAUCCAAAAGUUAGCUUGAUUAAUCAACAAUCAAUUACAAGAAUAUCAAAAUAAUCAAGAAUCUCACAAAAAGUCUAAAAAAUAAUCAAGAGUCUAACAAUAAUCAAGGGCCUAACCAAAUAAUCCAGAGUCUAACCUCAAAAACGAGGUUUUUCAAACUAUUUAUAAAAAAUAAAAACCUAAUUACAUAAGGACUCUAUUUGCUGGAAAUCUGUCAAAACGCGGCUGGGUCAACGGACCUCGCGACGCAUCGUCGUGGUCACGACGGACCGUCAUGGACACGACGGACCGUCAUGGACUCCGUCGUCCCAUACUUGAUGCAAUUUCUUAUGCUGCUCUCUUCAUUACUCUCGACAGCAGGUAUGAUGGAUCGUUACAGGCACAACGAUCCGUCGAGGGUCUCCGUUCCAAAACACUUGAACUCUUGGAAUAUGGGUACUGGGACUACUUCUCUGAACUUCAUGACGAACCUGCAGGACGGACCGUCAUGGAUACGACGGUCCGUCACGCAUUUUGUAACCCCACACUUGGUCAGACUUCCCCAUUUUCCUUCAGCAGCUGCACUACGUUGCCACCUACGGACCGUCACGAGCAUGACGGACCGUCACAAGCAUGACGGACCGUCACAAGCAUGACGGACCGUCACAAGCAUGACGGACCGUCACAAGCUCCGUAGGUGGUCUCUUCUGCAUUUCUUUGCUCAAAAACCUCCGCAUUCAUCUUUGGAUAGAUUUCCUGCAAAUAAGGAGAAACUUAUAUAAAAAUUAGCACAAAAAGAUUUUGGACACACUAACUUAAGGAAAAAAUAUUAAUAAUACCGUGACACCAUAGUAUAUCAGUGAUCCUAAGUGUUUGGGAAAAAUCCAUGAAUGUUUUGAAGGUUUAGAGUUGAAAAUCGGAGAAGAAAAGUCAGAAAACUCGUCUGACAGGUCUUGUGGCACCGUGCCUACAAGAGCCCCUCAGGACAGACUCUUUCUGUCAGGCUCUGGCGCGCCGCCGUGCCAGCUAGAGCGCCUGAAGACAGUGUCUGUCGGUCAGGCGCUGGUGCCCCGCGCCUCUCAGAGCGCCAGGGUCACCUGGAGAUUCUAUUUCUCUCCCAUCUUUUCGUACGAGUUCCUAAGUGACGUAUCUAUUAUUUCUAGUUAGUUCCAAUACUCUAAAGUAAAUAUAAACAUUAUGAAAUCAUCCAUAAUAAUGAGAUCAGGAUCCGUGAAUGCAUAAUCCAAUUCAAGGGAAGUUAAGAUCAAAGUCAAAAAAAGUUAAGAGUCAAGUCUAAAAGUUAAAAAACAAGUCAAAGUAAGUUCCUAAAGCAUUCAAGAGUCUUAAACAAACAUUUUAACUUUGUUUUAAGGUUCAAGCAAUGAGUUGAGCAAAGAGUAAAAGAGUUGAGUUAAAUUUUCAAAAGCUAUAAGGGAACUAAGUAUUCCCUAAGAGUUAAGUUUCAAGUUAAGCAAAUAGUAACAAGUUGAGUUCACUUCUCAAGAGUUAGAAGGGAACUAAGUAGUCUCUAACAGUUUAAACAAGAUGUUUUUAAACUUUUGAGAAAGAAAGGAAGCUAGACUUCCACAGAGCCUAUGACUAGUUUUAGUAAAAGAAAAAGGAAACUAUGAUUUCUAAGAAAGUUUUUGAAGCAAAGUUUGAGAAAUUAUCUCAAACUAGAGAAGAAGUUGUUUUAAAAAAACAUAUGAGCUAAGUAUUUUGGGAGUAGUAUUGAGCACCGAUAUGGUGACGCGAGUUCAUAUUAACUCAAGUCUCCAUAAACCAUUGAGCCAACAUGGAGAUAUAAAAGAUCAUACUUUUUAGAUGAUUCCUUAGUAAUUUUAGCAUAGACUAGUGAAUCCUCUUAGUAGUUCAGGUUCUAUAUCGACGACAAGGUAUAGAGUGGUCCUCUUGCAACAUGAGGUAAUACGUUGUACCAUCACUUAGGCUCAUAGAUGGUUGUCGGUUAGAUAAUCUCUCAAAGAAAUUAUAAUACUUUCAAAUAUAUGAGUAAAGUUGAGUUUAUUAUUGAUUUAUCUUUAAUGAACUAAGUGUUUACACUGUUUUACAAGCUUUUCUUAUAUCGCAUGUGUCCUUACUGCUUUAUAUUGAGUCGUUAUUAAUGAGUUGAGCAGAACCAAGGUAAGUUCUUCCUUACUCCUUUCAAGCCUUAUAGUAGUGUUUAGUAUUCCAAUUCGCAUACUCGUUUGGCCUGCAUGCAUCGUCUUAUAAUGCAGAAGCAGGUAAUUAGGAUCAACAUGCAGCACUUUGUUGAACCAGUUUGAGCUCUAGAGUCAGUGGUGAGCCUCCAUGCAUUUCGGAGGAUCCUUUUAUUGCUAUCUAGUUAGUUCAAUAGAAUGUUGUGGGGUUUGUCCCAACAUUCAUCUCAGUCAGUUUAGAGGUUUCAUAGACGGAUAGUAGUAGUUAAGUUGUGUCUCUUUAUUUCAGAUUCUAUAUUUGAGACUUAAGUGCAAAUUUGGCCAAGACAGUAUUUAAAGUCAUUUUUAUGAGAACUUCUUCAAUUCUAUAACUGAAUUAAGUUGAGUCUUCCGCUGAGUUAAGUAAGUCAGACCAAGAGUUCCCUUGAGGCCAGCAAUGGUCACCAAGUGCUAGUCCCACCCAGGGUAUAAGCUCGGAGCAUGCUAAUAUAUGCAUUUCAUAUACGACUUACGUAUUCAGAUACUUUUAACAUUUUGUUAGAGCAGAAGAGUCUUAACUUAUAUAUGUAGGUGAAGUAUUGAUAUAUUGGGAUAUUGGUACUUAUUAUUAUUUUACUUUAAUACUUAUUUAUAAGUCUACAACACACGGUAAGCACACACAAGGUGCUCAACAUGUGUGCUUGAAGUAAAUUUAAUUUUGAAUGAGGUUAAUUUGGUCAUUUUAUAUAAUACUCAAUGUUUCUUUUACUUGUACAAAAUGCAAAAUUGCUUUUAUGGACAUCAAAUGACCAAAAACCCAGUAUCCUUUAACUCAUUGUCAUAUGUUAUAGAACAUUGCAAUUGGUUGAAAAUGAACUUUAAUGUAGUUGCAAUAUAAUUAUUUUUACUUCUUGUCAAAACUGCCCCUAUGCGGCUUAAGCUUAUUUUAUCAACUAUUUGUUAUUACGUGGAGAAAUUAAAGACAUCUUUAGAUGAGUCCUUUUAAGCGGUACCGACCUAGAUAUAUAUAUUCUUUUCGUUUUAUUUAUGUCAUUUUUACUAAAAAUAGGUAAUAUUUAAUAUUUAUCAUUUCACAAAAGUAAUGCAUUAUAUAGUAAUGAAAUCGACUCUCUGAACUCUGUGACGGACCGUCACAGGUACGACGAACCGUCGUGAGCCCCGUUUCAAAACACUUCAACUCUUGAGAAUUUGGUACAGGGAACGAUUCUCUGAACGUCAUGACGGAGGUGCAGGACGGACCGUCGUAGGUACGAUGGGCGUCACAGACUCCUUAAGGAAAUCGAGUCUUUGACGAACCUGCAUGACGGACCGUCGCAGGCACGACGGGCCGUCGCAGGUUGCGCAAUCCCAGUCUAGGUCAGAUUUCUUUACACAUUUUAAGGGACGUUUUUGACUAUUCCUUCUUUAAUUAUAAAGUUAGUGGGUUAAUGUUAAUAAGUCUAAUUACUUGGGGGUUAAAGAGGUAACCUCAAGUUAAUUAGUGGGUUAUUAUUGCCAUCUUUCAUUCUUAAUUAUAUACUAAUUAGGGUAAAAGAAAGAGGGUUUGAAUAAAGAAAAUAGAAAGAACACAAAGAGAGAGAGGGAGAAUCGAACGAGAAGGUGAAAAGAAGAGGAGAAACACAAAGCUUUGGGAAAUUGCUUGCUUGAUUUCUUGUCUUCGGUGGAGGUAGGUUUUGGUUUUCAUGCUAUUCGUAGUAAACUCUUAAUAGCGAAUGAUAUGUGUUAGUAGUAUUGUAAACCCUUCUAUAUGCUUAAUUGUAUGCUUGCAUGAAUGAUGUGAUUAUGGAAUUAUGAAUAAAUAAGCAUGAUGAAGUUAUUGAAUCCCAAAUCUUGAAAAGAAACCUAAUCUACUUUGUUAAUGAUGAUGCCUUGGUAUAAAAGAAGGCUUGAUGAACGAAAGGGGUGAGAUUAGGGGAUCGAGUGCCACAUUCUGGUACCAGUAUAGAGAUAGAGGAUCGGGUGCCACGUUCCGGUACCAGGAUAGAAUGAGGAUCGAAGUGUCACGUUCCGACACCAGGAUAGUAUAUGGAUCGGGUGCCACGUUCCGGUACCAGGAUAGAAUGAGGAUCGGAGUGUCACGUUCCGACACCAGGAUAGUAUAUGGAUCGGGUGCCACGUUCCGGUACCAGGAUAGAAUGAGGAUCGGAGUGUCACGUUCCGACACCAGGAUAGUAUAUGGAUCGGAGUGUCACGUACCGACACGAGGGGAAUAAAUAUAAUGAAUCUUGUAAGAUGCUAAUAUACUCAAUUUAAUGAAACUAAUUCCCAAAUGAGUAUGAUAUUGAGGCUUGAGUCCUCACGUGUGAACUUGACGGUAUUUGUUAAUGAUAUAGUACUUGUUGUUGCUACAUGUUGAGUAUCAUAGUUGAUUUUAUGAUAUUGCUUAAUAUAUAUUGUUUUCUAAUUUCGAGUUGACCGAUGAUAUCUACUCAGUACCCGUGUUUUGUACUGACCCCUACUUUUGUGUUUUCUUCUUUGUUAUUUGUGGAGUGCAGCAAACAUGCCGUCGUCUUCGACUCAACAGUAUUCAAGCCAGUCUUUACUACACCGGAAAUUCAGGGUGAGCUAAUGCUUCUAGCUUGGACUGGAUCUUCUUCUUCAAGUCUUGAUGCCUUGAACUUCCGGCAUGGACUAGCUUCUUAUGUAUUUUUAGCUUCUUAGACAUUUUUAGUUAGUAAUUUGAUCAUAGAUGUUCUUGUGAUGAUGACUUCCAGAUUUUGGGGAAUAAUAGUUAUUGAAUUGGUUUUUAUUUAAUGAGCUUAAGUCUUCCGCAUUAUUUUCUAUUGAUAUACGUUGAAAUGAUAAGGUUUAGAUUGGUUGGUUCGCUCACAUAGGAGGGUAAAUGUGGGUGCCAGUCGCGGCUCGGUUUUGGGUCGUGACAAACCUUGUAUCAGAGCAUUAGGUUCGUUGGUCUCAUCACACAAGAACGAGUCUAGUAGAGUCUUAAGGAACGGUAGGGGGGCGCCUUUACUUUUCUUUGAGGGGCUAUAAGACUUUAGGAAAUUCCAUUCUUUCUUAUCUCUUUCGUGAUACUACUUGAAUCCAAUUGGUAUCUAGGUGAUUCAAAUUGGUAUCUGACCAUCUUCACUCUAUUUCGCAGAUGGUUAGAACUAGAUCAACGACUGCGCCAACACCAACACCGGCAAGACAAGAAACGUCUGAGCCAGCCACUGGGGCUGUGGCUCAAGGAAGAGCAAUAGCAAGAGGUCGUGGUAGAGUUCGUGGGAGGACGUCCUCUAGAGGGAGAGGACGAGUACCUAGCCCAUCUGAUGCUAGGGCGGUGACUCCUCCACCGACUGAGGAAGUAGUAAGAGAGGGUGAGGAAGGGGAGAAUGAACAAGUGCAAAAUGAUGAAUUGCCACCCCAACCUACCCCAGAGAUGAUCAAUCAGGUUCUCGCUUAUCUUAGUGGGUUAUCUGAUUAGGGCCAGACACCUCCAGUGUUUUCUGCACCAGUACCUCAGGUUCCGGAGGUACAACAUGCGGCUACUAUGGCUCCUCGUAUGGAUGCCUCAUUGGACAUAGGCACGUUUCCACGUCUGACUACUGGGCCUAUAAUGACAAAUGAUCAGCAUGAACUUUUCAGUAAGUUCUUGAAAUUGAAACCCCAGUCUUCAAGGGUGCUGAAUCUGAGAAUGCUUACGAUUUUCUGGUUGACUGUCAUGAGCUACUACACAAGAUGGGUAUAGUAGAACGGUUUGGUGUUGAGUUCGUGAGUUAUCAGUUUCAAGGGAACGCCAAAAUGUGGUGGCGGUCACAUGUUGAGUGUCAACCAACAGAGGCACCACCUAUGACUUGGGCCUCAUUCUCUAGCUUGUUUUGGAGAAGUGUGUCAACCAACAGAGGCACCACUAUGACUUGGGCCUCAUUCUCUAGCUUGUUUAUGGAGAAGUAUAUCCCCCAGACUUUGAGGGAUAGGAAAAGGGAUGAGUUCUUGAGCCUAGAUCAAGGUAGGAUGUCGGUUAAUGCAUAUGAGGCUAGGUUUCGCGCACUAUCCAGGUAUGCCACUCAACUUUGUUUCAGUCUACAAGAGCGGAUUCGCCGGUUUGUGAAGGGGUUGAGGUCAGAGUUGCGGAUUUCGGCCUUACAGGUAGCGGCUACGGCAAAAUCCUUCCUAGAAGUGGUAGACUUCGUGAUAGAGGUGGAAGGAGUGAAGCCCAAUGACUUCACCUCGACAUCGACAUCAAAAAGGUUUCGAAAGGGAGGUGAGUUUAAUGGUUCUUACCCUAGGGGAUAGGGUUUCGGAGGUUACUCAGUCCGACCGAUUCAGUCUUCACUACAGACUGUAGUUGGGGGUCCACCUCAGCCGGUCAAAACUUCCUGAGGAGACCUAUGCAUGAACCAAGAAAGUGCUAUGGAUGUGGGUUUCAAUUUUGGAGAUUAAAUAAAUAUUAAUUUUGAAGAUAAAUAAAAAAAAGAUUUACUAACCUACACCAGGCGAAGAUCCCACUUUGAAACCCGCGACGAAGAAAACUUUUGAAAACUCUUACCGCGAUGAGGGUGAAAGAGUAAAAUCAUUUUCUGGAAAAUAAUGAAAACGAGGGGAAAAGCGUAAUAAGAUUUAAGGCAAUUUAGUCUAUGUGGUAGUGCCCUAUUGACAGCAAUAUGGAAUUCAACAUAGCGAAUUUAACAACUUCUCUUAUUAGAAGGGCAUUUUGACACAAUAGUUUCACGGAAGGGUACUUUUUGAGCCGAAAUAUACUUUUAAGGGUAAAUAUGAGUUAUUUUCAGAUAUUUAAGAGUAUUUUUUACUCCUUUUACCUUUUAGUCUACGUGGUAGUGGACCCUAUUGACCGUGCAAUGUGAUGGCAUUUUACAAUUCAUUACAGAAUUGCACUUUUUGACACAAUAGUUUUGACGGGGAGGAGAGUUUUUUGAGCGGAAAUAUAAUUUAAAGGUAAAUAUGAAUAUUUCAGAUAGUUUAAGGAUUCUUUGAGACCCUUUUAUGUUUAAAACUAUAAUGAAUCUUAAUGUCAAAAAACAUUGUAUAAAAUUAAAGGAAAUUAAAAUUCAUGGACAGAUGGUAGGCUAUACUGAAUAUGUUGUAGUAAACAAACAUAUAUAAAACUAUUAAGUUGUAUAAUAUUUUUUAUUUAUUAUAAUCAAACAAAUAAAGUUAUCUUUAAAAUUAAAAUAAAAUGAUUACAUGGAGUCCCAUGAAACAAAAUUUUUGUGACUCUUGAAAAAGAUUACUGGAUACUUCUAGAAAAUAUUUUGACCACUGAUUAUGCAAUUAAUAAAGUUGUAAUUUUGCCCAUAAUAUGUUUAAAUUACAAUAUUGUCAUUGUCCAUCCUAAUCAUGGAAUCUUCUAUAUAAUAGAAAUAUAAUAACUAGAUUCAAGGGUGCCCGUGCUAACGCCAACGCAACGUAUGUUGAUUUUUCUCUUCCAAUUUUAUGUGACAAAAAUGAAUUUGAAAAAAUGAACUAAAUUUUUUAUAUGUGUUUUUUUUUAAAAAAUAUUUUAAAUUAUUAAUUUAUGUACUCUUUUUUGUUGUCAUUUUUGAAUAUAUCUGUUACUUUAUCUAUUUUAUUUUUUAUGAAAUACAGUGAUUUUAGGAAAGUAAACGAAAUUUCUUAUAUGAUUUUCAAUAUAUUUUUAGUUUGUCCAUUUUACUGCGAUUCAUAGUUACUUUUAGUUAUUCACGUUAUUUUCAAACAAUAUAUGCCAAGCUUUUUUUUUGUUUCAAUAAAAAUAAGGGAGUUUCAACAAAAUUUCAUUAUCGGGUUUUACUCAUUUUUUCUAAAAAUUAUUUUAUUGUUCAUUGCUUUUUAAAGUUUUUUUUAAUGUAACUUUCAAAUAUGUAACAAUUUAGAAAUUAAACGAAGAUUAAAGUUUUCAAUCAUUAUAUUUCUAUAAUUAAGAAAAUUAAAUCGCUUUUAAAACUACAUAUAUAUUGCAUAAAUUAGUAAGAAGGAAGCCAACAACUUAUUUUUUAAAAAAAUAUUGAGAGCUCAUUUUUAAAUAGUAAUACAUAAUAUUUCAUUUUUCAUCAUCGAAUCCCUGCUUUUCGGAUUUUAUAUAAAUUAUAAUUUAAUUUAAUUAUUUUUAUUUGUUCAAAAAGAAAAUAACUUCUGAAUUUUAUUUGUUUAUAAAGAUAUUUAAGAUCACAAAAUCAAAAAAAAAAUAUUUCAAUUCACAAAAUUUAAAAAUAUACAUAUAAAUUUUAAUUUUAAUAUUUGAUUGGGUUCACCUAAAUAUUAUACUUGAUAUAUAAUUAUUAAGAGCUAAGCGUAUCAUUAAUCUAUUUACUUUCGUAUAAUAAAUAGAUAUAGCAAUAACUCUUAAAAAAUGAGAAAUAAAAACGAAAUGAGAUAUACUAAUAAUAAUCACUAAAGAUUUUCUAGAACUAGUUUAAAUUUCUUGUUAUCAAUCGUGUUAGUUUUUUUGCUUGCAUAAAUUUCAUUUUUACUUCGAUCAUCAUUCACUUCAAUAUAUAGAAUAAUGUUUCUAGAAUUAUUUAUUCUUGAUAAAUUAAUUGUUAGAAUGAAUUACACAUUUUAUCUUAGUCGUCUUAUACAAAGUAUCACCUAUUUUUUUUAUUUGUCAAGUUACUUUUUAAGAUUUUUUAUUUAUUUCAGUCUACUAUAUAUUAUUAAUUUAUCACACUUUAUUUAUUUUCAAGUUAUUAUAGAGUCAAAAUAAAGAUUGGAAAAUAAUUAAUUCAUGAUACUUUUUAUAUAAAAAGUAGGCAUAUAUUAUAAGCAUAAUGAAUAGAAAAAAAUAUUAAGAAUUAAUUAUUAAGUAAUAGUAAAGUAGCAGUAAUUAUAAAUAGAUAUAACAAUCUCACAAAAGAAAAGAAGUGAAGUGAUAACAAAAUAAGUUAAUGGUAAUAAUAAUACUUAAAAUAUUCUAGAACUAUUAUUUUUUUUUUUUUUUGUUAUCAUUCUUCAUAGAUUUUUUUUGUUAGCCAUGUGAAUUAUAUUUUGCCUGUAACGACCUGUUUAGUCGUUUGGAGCAGCAGAGUUAAUUUCCUGAAAAUCACUCGUUGGGUCGAUCGGAUCCACGACGAAACCGUUUCAAAAAAUGGGCCCAAAAAAAAAACGAACCGGACGUCGAGGGUGUCUCGUGCCAAAACACUUAGAAUUUAGAAAUUUGGUACUGAGAUCGACCUCUGAACUUCACGACGAAAUGGAGGACGGAACCGUUGAGGGGCUCGACGGACGUCAAAAUCCUUACCGCAGAAUUAACUCUCUGAACCUUGUGCACGGAACGUGCGGACGGACCGUCAAGUUGUGACGGACCGUCACAGGCUGCGUGACCUGACUGGUCCGGAUUUUCUGUUAAUAUUUUAGGGCGCGAUUUUGGACUAUUCUACUUUUAUACACUUAUCAAGUUUAGUGGUUUAAUGGUUAAUAAUUUAAUUACUUGGGGUUUAAAGAGAGAACCUUGGAACAAAUAGUGGGAUAUUUUAUCAUCUUUUUAUACUUAAUUUAUAUGCUAAUUGGUAAAAGAAAGAGGGUUUGAAUAAAAAAGAAAAAAGAGCAGAGAGAGGGGAGAACGAUCGAUUGAGAGAGAAGAAGAACGCAGCUUUGGGAAAGUAGAUUGCUUGAUCACAAUCCUUCGGUGGAGGUAGGUUAAUGGUUUACUUGCUAUUCGUAGUAAACCUUAAUUAGCGAAUGAUAUGUUUUGGGUAUGUUGUAAACCCUUUAUAUGCUUAUUGUAUGCUUUGCAGAAGUGAUUAUUAUUGUGAUAAAUAAGCAUGAUGAAGCCUUUGAUCCUAAAUCUUGAAAAUCCUAAUCUACUUUGUUAAUGAUGAUGCUUUGGUAUAAAGAAGGCUUGAUGAACGAAAGUAGUAAAGAUUAGGGGAUCGGAGUGUCACGUUCCGACACCCAGGAUAGUAUAUGCGAUCGGGUUGCCAACGUUCCGGUACCAGGAUAGUAUAAUGAGGAUCGGAGUGUCACGUCGACACCAGGAUAGUAUAAGUGGAUCGGGUGCCACGUUCCGGUCCAGGAUAGUAAUAAUGAGGAUCGGAGUGCCACGUUCCGGUACAAGGAUAUUAUAUGAGGUCGGAUGUCACGUUCCCGACACCAGGAUAGUAUAGUGGAUUCGGGUGCCACGUUCCGGUACCAGGAUCAGUAUGGAUGAAGGAUCGGAGUGUCACGUUCGACACCAGGAAUAGUAUAUGGAUCGGGGUGCUCAGUACCAGACACGAGAGAAAUAAAGAAUAAUGAUCUUGAAAGAUGUUUAAUUAACUCAAUUUAAAUGAACGCUAAUUCCAAAUGAGUAUAGAGGGGAGGCAGUGAGUCCUCAUUGAUUGUGGCUUGGUGUUGUUGACCAAGAGUUAUGAUAAUUAUAAAUGCGCAUGUUGAGUAUUGUAGUUGAUUUUAGAUAUAUCUGAUAUAUAUCUGUUUUCUAUUUUUGAGUUGGCCGAUGAUAUCUACUCAGUCUCGUAGUUUUUGUACUGACGCCCUACUUGUAAUUGUUUUUGUCUUUGUUAUUUGUGGAGUGCAGCAAACGUACGUCGUCUUCAAUCAACGCAAACUCUAAGCCCGUCUUCAAUUACAACCGGAUUUCAGGGUGAGCUAACGUUCCUAGCUUGGACUGGAUCUUUUCUUCAUGUCUUGAUGCCUUGAAGUUCCGGAAUGGACUAGUUUUUUUAUUUAUUCUAUAGCUUUUCUAAAUACUCUUAGAAUUCAGUAAUUUGAGGAUAGACUUGUUCUUGUGAUGAUGACUUCCAGAUUUUGGGAAUAAUAAGUAUUAGAGUUUUUAGACGUUUAUUACAUUCAACAAGAUUAUAUACAUAUAUAAGAAGAUUUAGUCUUUCCGCAUUAUAAUUCUGUUUAUUAUGGUUCAAAUGUUGGGGUUUAGAUUGGUUGGUUUCGCUCACAUAGGGGGUAGUGUGGGUGCCACUCGGGUCCCGCUUUGGUCGUGACAUUUGCCCUUGAUCUAUUAUUCACUUUACAUAUAUAGAAGAUGUUUCUAGUAUUAUAUCAAUUAUCUUUGCUUAUAGAUUUUUGUUAGCGUGUGAAAUUAAUUUUGGACCUUAAUCGUCCUCCACUUCACUCUUCUAUAUAAUUGAAUAGAAAUAACAUUAUAUAAAAUAAAUAUUUAUAAAUGUUAUAAGUUUUCUAUAUCCUUUUUUUAUAGUGAUUAAUUAACAAAUAGGUAAAUCGGAUAUGUUCGGGUAAAAUAAAUAUAUAUGAGAAUGUAUUUAUUGUGAUAUAUGGCAAUUCAUCAAUAGUCAGUCUCUAAUAAUUUAUAUAUUAGUAGUGAAGUAUAUGUUAAAUUUUAAAACGAGGAUUUUACAUAAGUGGAGAAGACUUCUUUUCUUUUUUAUUUUCUCACGAGAUUUUACAUUUUAAAAUUAGUUUAUAACUUAACAUUAAAUUACUUUAUAUGUAUUUUACUUAUUCAAACUCUCACUAUCAAUAUUGUACAUUUGUUUAUUUUUGGUCUUCAUAUUAACCCUAGUAUAGCCUUGCUAAACUAAAUUUUGAAAAUUAUUAUAGUAAGGUGUUUGUUUCCUCACCUCAUAUAUUUACAUCAUAUGCAUAAAAAUUAUGUUAAAUGAAUCAACAAUAUUUUUUUUAUUUAUUUUUAAGAGAGCUAGUUAUUUGGGGCCGCUAAAGCCUACUUCAAAAUUAGGCAAAUCAAAAGAAGGAAGUGUACUAUCAACAAGUAAAAAUGUCAACCUACUCUAAAAAGUUUGGACAAUUUUUAAAGAUAACUGAAAUACUAGAGACAUUAGUAAAUAUUGCGUGAAUCACUUAAUAAAUCGAAAAACAUAAUAUUUUGGAGAUAGUUUUACUAAAAUAUUUUUAACAAUAAACUUGAAUGUUGUACAUAUUUAUUGAAUUGUGGGUAUAGAGACAAUUUUUAGCUUUUUUUCUGAUUUAACAAUAUAUUAAUCGCGAAAGAAGUCAUGUGUUCUUAAUAAAUAAUCGCUAAUGGCAAUUAUUUGCUGCUAAAAAUUCUUCCUCUAAUAAACUUAUUUACACUUUUAGCGUUUAAGACGCAAUGUCCAUCUUAAACUAAUAAUAUUUGGGAAAAAAAAAGGAGGAAAUAAAUUAAACUCAAUUGGGGGAUAACAAUUUUCUUUUAAUUAGUAUGUUAUAUAUACAUUAUUUCAAUUAUACUUUCGAGUUUUUGAUAUACGAAAAUAUAAUGUCAAACUUUAAGAGCAAGAAUUUACAAAAUGAGAACGACUUUUUUUUAAAAUAUAAUGUCCAAACUUUAAAUGACAAGAUUUACAAACCAUGAGACCGACCUUUUUUUUUAUUAUAACGUUUUUUUAUAUAUUAUAUAUAUACAUACACACACACAUCUAUAUCCAUAAUAUCAUUGACUCUUAUUAUAGAUAGGAAAGAGGUUUAAAAUAUAUCAUUGAAACUUUCGAAAAAAACUCAUGUUAUUCAUCAGUUUAAAAGUUUGGUCUCAUUUAUGCCAUUAACCUGUUUAAAAAGAUUCAUUUCUUGCCAUUAUUUUUUAUAAUGGUUUUCGCAAAACCAUUUUUAAUACGUGACCAAUUUAACUCGGCUACGUCCUCCCAUUUAUUUAAUUAAAAAUCAUCAUUCUAAAAAAAAUUGCAUUCAUUUUUUUUUUGAUUUUUUUAUUAAUAUUUGAUGAAUGGCAAUUGAAUUCAGUGGAUUUUCUUAAUUUGGGCGGGUCUUUUAUUUGAGUGGGGUUUUAUUUAUGUUUUUCUUCAGAAUUGAUAUCAAAAAAAAAUAAAAAAUGAUGUGGCCGAAUCAUAACUUUGUCACGUGGUGAAAAGGGUUGGGCCAAAUCGCGCCGUUAAAAACUAAUGGCAGAAAUGAGUCUUUUUCCUAAAUGGUAAUAACAUGAACGAGUUCAAACUUUUAACGGAUCACAUAAUGAAGAUCUUUUCUAAAAGUUCAACCGGCAUAUUUGAGCUUUUUCCCUUAUUUAAAAAAAGUGCUUACAUAACACUCAUUUAUUACAUAAAUAUUUCUAAAAUAUACCAUUUUUUCUAACGGGAGUGAAAAAAAUAUUUUUUUAAACAUAAUUUUUUCAUUUUUUUAAGAAAGUAAAAUCUUGAAUAUAUUAUCUUCCACUUUCUAGAAAUAUUUAUGCCUACAAGAUUUUUUUUUAUUUUUAAAAUUAAAAUUAAUAUUUUCACUUCCAUUAGAUUGAUGAAGAUAUAUCUGAAUCACUUUUUAUAAAAUGGUAAGGAUAUGUAUGAACUCUUAUUUAAUCAAAAUGUGAAUUAUUUUUAUAAUGAGCGAUAUAAAAAUUUUAAUUGCAAAGUUAUGAAGACUUUUUAUUUAGGGAAAAGGGUCUGAUAUACCCCUCAACUUUCAUUUAGAGCUGAUAUGGCCCUUGUGUGAAAGUGGCAUCAUAUAUACAUUAGCUUGUAAAACAAAUGGCUCACAUAUACCCUUUCCUCUAACGGAAAUGGAAAAAAUAAUCUUUACUAAUUUUUUAAUAAUUUUUUUGUCUAAAAAUUAUAUCCCAUAUGAGUAAAUUUAAUCCGUCGUAAAACAUAUUUUUUUUAAACCUUUUUUUAGUUUCAAAUGACUAUUUAUAAUUAUUAUUUUGGAUAAUCAAAUUUAUUUAUGUUUCACUAAUAUUCUUGUAAAGACUUAUUGUUAGAUGAACCAAUUUUUUCUUCGAUACCGAAUUAAAAUUACAAUACAGCACAAAAAAUAGUUUAAAUUUUUUCUCUUUAAACUAAGGAAUUGGAACAGAAAACAUAAGAAUAGAAAACUCAAAUAAUUAUAAUAAAAAAGUCAAAAAAUAAUUUAUAUAAUGAACAAAUAAAUAUCGCUGAACUUUUGAUAGAAGAAUCAUAUAUAUCCCUAAAUAAUUUUUUUAAAAAAUUAAGUAAUAAAUAUGCCAAUUUAAACUAAUUUUUUUAACUUCCGUUAAAUGAAGUGGUAUAUAUGAAGCCAUUUUGUAACGUGGAGGGGUAUAUGUGAGCGCAGCCGUUUGUAUACACGGUAAGGGCAAUAUAUGAAGCACUUUUAUAACGGGGGCGUAUUAUUAGCUCAAUAAACAAAGUUGAGGAGUAAUAUCAGACCUUUUUCUUUUAUUUAUUGUAUAAAAGCUUUCAUAUACUAGUUACAUAUUUAAAUAUUGAAAAUGUUGAUAAGAGAUACCCAUUAAAUGCUAAAGUAAUUGGUAUUGUUAAAAAAUUUCCUUUUAUUUUAUUGUAAUAUAUCUAACAUCCUCGUACUUCACUAACUAAGAAUAAAACUAAGAAUCAAGAAUAAUCAUUUUUUUUGGAAAUAAAUAGGAAAUUCCUGAAAAAUUUACCAGUUGUAAAAAGUGAGUUUUUGGUCAAUCUUCAAACGACCAUAACUCCCAGCUUAGGAGGACGUUUAGGUGUGAGUUCCUUAUUGGUUGGAAAUCCCUUGGAAAGAAAUUUCCAAACGCCAAGUUUGUACAUUUUAAGAUGUGCGUAUGAAGGAGAUAUGAUUUCGAAAGUUUUGGUUUGUUGGAGUGAGGAAAAUUCAAUCCGGAUUUAGUAGGAUAAAGUAGUCUUUUCACUCUAUAUUUCUAAUUCGUUUUUAAAGGGUUUUAUUAGGGGUAAAUCAAGUCCAUAUUCAGUUUUGAAACAGUUGAGAACGCUCAUGGCUUGGGAGAAAAGAGAGAGACCAAAUUUCUUCAAAGAAGCUCAGGUUUCGCUAGAGGAAUUCAUCGGGGGUGAUCUCUAUUCGAGGUAUAAUGAGUAUCUUUCUUAUGUUGGUCGUUCACCCCACACACCACUGUUUUAUUUAGACAAUUUUUGUAUUGAUUGAAUAAUGAAUCUUGAAGUUCUUGAUGAGCCAAUUGUUGAUCCUUAUUGGUAGAGUUGUAAGUGUCUUUAGUUGGUGUUGUUCGUAUUUUCAGGCUGUUUUACGAGUCUAACUAUUGGGUAAUGAGUUAGUAUUAGUGAUUGAUACGCUCAAACUUACUUUUUAAAUAAGAAGUAAGCAGUAAAUGGGGUUUCUAUCUCCUAAAUAAAUGAAAAUACUAAAGCGAAAUUAAGGGGACAACUAACCUUCGAUGUUGGAGUUUAAUCACUUAAUCAAAGUAACUAGGGUUUACGUGUUUCCCCCCACAGGUUUCAUAACUUGAUAAUUCUAAAUAUAACAUUCUUUUCUUUUCUUGUAUCUUGCAUUUGCAAGUGAUAAGUUAUGUAUUUCUAAAUCCUUGGUCGCGGCAUCUAGAAAAUUUUCACUCGGCAACCGGUUGGUCCGACUACGUGUGGUUUUCGCUAUAAUAACCCUUAUUAUUUACCUCAUAUUAAGCAUCCGUAUUCGUAUUUGACUAAGUUAUUACCCCGUACCAAUAAUAUCAGCCCUAUUACGAUAGUAUACACUAAAUUUAUUAUUGGAUAAUUUUUCUAUUUCUUCUCUCUUGGUCCGACAAGUAGCAUUAAAGCGCGAGUUCCUAACGUUGGCCAUCCGUUAAAGACUUCCAAGCGAAAGAAUUAUCAAUACAUGCAAGACACUAUUCUAGAAUUGUUAUUUUUACGUUGAUUUUACUCAUUAUUCGCCUAUGGUUCCCAACUACCCUAAUUAUGGAGUUUAGUUACCAUAAUCAUAAUCAAAUAAUUCCAAAUAUAUGAUAUAAGAAUUCAUGCACUUACUUCAAUGAGAAAGAGUUAAAGAUCAAAAGUUACGCUUGUUAUCACAAUCAAUUACAAGAAUAUAAAUAUCAGAAUCUCACAAAAAGUCCUAAAAAAUAAUCAAAGAGUCUAACAAUAAUCAAGGGCUAUACCAAUAAUCCAGAGUCUACCUCAAAAACGAGGUUUUUUCAAACUAUUUAUAAAUAAAACUAAUUACAUAAGGACUCUAUUUUGCUGGAAAUCUGUCAAACGCGGCUGGGUUCAACGGACCUCGGCGACGGAGCGUCGUGGUCACGACGGCUCCGUCAUGGAACGACGGACCGUCAGUGGAUCCGUCGUCCGCAUACCUUGAUGCAAUUUCUUAUGCUGCUCUCGCUCUUCAUUACCCUCGACGCAAGGUUGAUGGAUCGUUACAGGCACAACGAUCCGUCGAGGGUCUCCGUUCAAAACACUUGAACUCUUGGACAUAUGGGUACUGGGACUACUUCUCUGAACUUAUGCGAUGACUGCAGGACGGACCGUCAUGGAUACGACGGUGUCACGCAUUUUGUUAAACCCCACCCUUGGUCAGACUUCCCAUUUUUCGCUUCAGGCAGUGCUACGUUGGCCACCUACGGACCGUCACGAGCAUGACGGACCCGUCACAUAGGCAUGACGGAACGUCACAAGCAUGACUGGACCGUCACAGCAUGAGGACGGUCACAAGCUCCGUAGGUGGUCUCUUCUGCUAUUCUUUGCUCAAAACCUCCGCAUUCAAUUUUUGGCUAGAUUUCCUGAAAUAAGGAGAAACUUAUAUAAACAUUAGCAGCAAAAAGAAUUUUUUGGACAGCACUAACUUAAGGAAAAAAUAUUAAAUAAUACGUGAACCAUAGUAUAUCAGUGAUGCCUAAAGUUGUUUGGGAUAAAUCAUGAAUGUUUUGCAGGUUUAGGUUGAAAAUGCGGAGAAGAAAAGUCAGAAAACUCGUUGACAGGUCUUGUGGCAAUUCCGUGCUACAAGAGCCCUCAGGACAGACUCUUUCUGUCAGGCUCUGGCGCGCCGCCGUGCAGCUAGAGCGGCCUGAAGACAGUGUCUGUCGUCAGGCUCUGGUGCCCCGCGCCUCUCAGAGCGCAAGGGUCAGCCUGGUGAUUCCUUAUUCUCUCUCACCAUCUUUUCGUACGAGUUCCUAAGUGACGGUUCUAUUAUUUCUAGUUCGUUCCAAUAACUCUAAGUAAAUAUAAAACAUUAUGAAAUCAAUCCUAUAAUGAAUCAGGAUCGUGAAUUUUUGCAUAAUCCAAUCAAGGGAAGUUAAGAUCAAGUCAAAAAAGUUUAAGAGUCAAGUUAAAAGUUAUAAAAAACAGUUCAAAGUAGUUCCUAAAGCAUUCAAGAGUUUUAACAAACAUUUUACUUUGUUUUAAGGAUUCAAGCAUGAGUUGAGCAAAAGAGUAAAAGAGUUGAGUUAAAUUUUCAAAAGCUAUAAGGGAACUAGUAUUCCCUAAGAGUUAGUUUUCAAGUUAAAGCAAAUAGUAACAAGUUCGAGGUUCAGCUUCUCAAGAGUAGAAGGGAACUAAGUAGUCUCUUAACAGUUUAACAAGAAUGUUUUUCAACUUUUGAGAAGAAAGGAAGCUAAGACUUCCACAGAGCCUAUGAAUGUUUUAGUUAAAAGAAAAAGGAAACUAUGAUUUCUAAGAAAGUUUUUGAAGCAAAGUUUGAGAAAUUCAUCUCAAACUAGCAGAAGCAAGUUGUUUUAAAAAAACAUAUGAGCUAAGUAUUUUGGGAGUAGUAUUGAGCACGAUAUGGUGAGCGCGAGUUCAUAUUAACGUCAAGUCUCCAUAAACCAUUGAGCAACAUGGGAUAUAAAAGAUAUACUUUUAGAUGAUUCGCUUAGUAUUUUAGCAUAGAUAGUGUGAUCCUCUUAGUAGUUUCAAGGUUCUAUACGACGACAAGGUAUAGAGUGGUCCUCUUGCAACAUGAGGUAAUACGUUUGUAACCAUCACUUAGCUCAUACGAUGGUUGUCCGUUAGAUAAAUCUCUCAAAGAAAUUAUAAUACUUUCAAAUUAUAUGAGUAAAGUUGAGUUUUUUAUUGAUUUAUCUUUAAUGACUAAGUGUUUACCUGUUUUUUCAAGCUUUUCUUUUAAUAUCGCCAUGUGAUCCUAUACUGGCUUUAUAUUGAGUCGUUAUUAAUUGAAGUUGAGCAGGAACCAGGUAAGUUGCUUCCUUACUCCUUUCAAGCCUUAUAGUAGUGUUUAGGUAUUGCCAUUACGCAUACAUCGUUUGGCUGCAUGCAUAGUCUUUAAUGCCAGAAGCAGGGUAAUUAGGAUCAACAUGCAGCACUCUUGUUGAACCAGUUUGAGGCUCUAGAGUCAAGUGGUCGAGCCUCAUGCAUUCGGAGGAUCCUUUUUAUUGCUAUCUAGUUAGUUCAAUAGAUGUUGUGGGGUUUGUCCCAACAUUCAUCUCAGUCAGUUAGAGGGUUUCAUAUGACGGAUAGUAGUAGUUAGUUGUUCUCUUUUAUUUCAGAUUCUAUUAUUUGAGACUUAGUGCAAAUUUUGGCCAAGGACAGUAUUUAAAGUCAUUUUUAUGAGAGUUCUUGCAUUCUAUAGACUGAAUUAAGUUGAGUCUUCUGUGAGUUAAGUAGUCAGACCACGAGUUCCCUUGAGGGCGCAGCAUGGUCACCAGUGCUAGUCCAACCCAGGGUAUAAAUGCUCGGAGCAUGCUAAUAUAUGCAUUUUUCAUAUACGACUUACGUAUUCAGAUACUUUUAACAUUUUGUUUAGAGCAGAAGAGUCUUAACUUAUUAUGCUAGGUGAAGUAUUGAUAUAUUGGGAUAUUGGUACUUAUUAUUAUGUUUACUUUAAUCUUAUUUAUAAGUUACAACACACGUAAGCACACACAAGGUGCUCAACAUGUGUGCUUGAAGUAAAAUUAAUUUUGAAUGAGGUUUAAUUUGGUCUUUUAUAUAAUACUCAAUGAUUUUCGCUUUUUUACCAACUUUUAAAACACACUUGUAAAAAUGCAAAAUUGCUUUUAUGGACAUCAAAUGACCAAAAACCGCGCGAGUAUCCUUUAACCUCAUUGUAUAUGUUAUAGAACAUUGCAAUUGGUUGAAACUGAACUUUAAAUGUAAGUUGCAAUUUAUUAUUUUUCUUCUUGUCUAAAACUGCCCUAUGCGGCUUAAGCUUUAUUUUUAUCAACUAUUUGUUUAUUAGUGGAGAAAUAGCUCUUUAGAUGAGUCCUUUUAAGCGGUACCGCGAGCUAGGAUAUUAAUAUAUGUCUUUUCGUUUUAUUUUAUGUCAUUUGUUACUAAAAAUAGGUAAUAUUAAUAUUUAUCAUUUCACAAGUAAUGGUAAUCAUUAUAUAGUAAUGAAAUCGACGUCUCUGAACUCUGUGACGGACGUCAGGUACGACGAACGUCGUGAGCCCGUUUCAAAACACUUCAACUCUUGAGAAUUUUGGUACAGGGAACGAUUCUCCUGAAACGUCAUGACGGAGGUGCAGGACGGACCGUCGAGGUCGAUGGCCGUCACAGAUCCUUAAGUGAAUCGAAGUCCUUUGACGAACCUGCAUGACGGCCGUCGCAGGCACGACGGGCCCGUGCGCAGGUUGGCAUCAGUCUAAGGUCAGAUUUCUUUACACAUUUUAAGGGACGUUUUUGACUAUUCCUUCUUUAAUUUAAAGUUAGUGGUUAAUGUUAAUUAAGUUAAUUACUUGGGUUGGUUAAAGGGUUAAACCUCAAGUUUAAAUUAGUGGGUUAUUAUUGCAUCUUUCAUUCUUAAUUAUAUACUAAUUGGUAAAAGAAAGGGGUUUUGAAUAAAGAAAAUAGAAGAACACAUAAGAGGAGGGGAGAUAUCGAACGAGAAGGGAUAAAAGAAGAGGAGAACACAAAGCUUGGGAAAUUGGCUUGCUUGGAUUUCUUGUUUCGGUGGAGGUAGGUUUUGGUUUUCAUGGCCUAUUCGUAGUAAACUUUAAUAGCGAAUGAUUGUGUUAGUAGUAUUGUAAACCCUUCUAAUUGCUUAAUUGUAAUGCUUGCCAUGAAUGAUGUGAUUAUCGGAAUUAUUGAAUAAAUAAGCAUGAUGAAGUUAUGGAAUCCGCAAUCUUGAAAAGAACCCUAAUUACUUUGUUAUGAUGAUGCCUGGUAAUAAAAGAAGGCUUGAUGAAGCGAAAGGGGUGAGAACAUAAAUCAAAUGGAGUGAGCUCAAAUUUAGUGAAUUUUUUUUUAAAAAAUAUUUUGUUGUUUAACAAUUUUUAAAAUGAAAAUGCUAAACCUUUUUCACAAUUAUGUUUUAUAGUUUUUUUAUCAAUAUCUAGUCGAUGAUAACCAUAAUUUUAAUAUAAAUAAUAUAAUAAGGUAACUUAAUUCUGAAAUUCAAGUAUUGAUAUUUUUGAGAAAAUAUUUAUUUAUAAAUUGUAAAACAUUCAUAAUCUAAUAUUUAAUAUGUUUCUUACUCUCAACGAAUGACACUAAUUCAUCAUGAUUCAAAAUUGUAAGAAGUAAAAAUCAAUACUAAAAAGUGCAACUCAUUAUUAUAUGAAGUUUAAUAUGUAGUUUAUCUAUUGUCGAAAGUUUUCCAAGUAUAUGAUAUAUAAUUCUAUGAUAAAUUAAUUUUUGAUCCCAUAUAUUUAUACUAUUUUCAAAUUUAUCCCGUUAAUUGAUUAUAUAUUUUCUUAAACUACAAUUACGCGAUCAUUAUUUAUCAAUUCUACUUUAUCAACUUUAUAUUCUUCUUUUUAUAUCUUUAGAAUUGUGCUAUUUUUGUUUUCUUAUUUAAGUUACAAUUUUAAAGAUAAAAUAAAUAUUUUUGGAGAUAAAAUAAGUUAAAUAAAAAACUAUAUGAAUACUUAUGUUGAAAAAAAAUAUAUAUAAUUAAAAAAUUGUCCUAUUUUUAUUUUCUUAUUUAAGUCACAAUUUUUAAAGAUAAGAUAAAUAUUAUUUUGAGAUAAAAUAAGUUAAAUAAAACUAUAUGAAUACUUUUGUUUAGAAACAUUAUAUAUAAUUAAAAAAAUUACAUAUAUGAAAGAUUUUAUAAAUUAUACUGGUUAUGUUGUAGUAGUAAUAAACAUAGAUGAACAAUUUGUAUUGUCAAGAGUAUAAAAAUAAAAAUAUUUUUCACAUUAUUAUUAUAUCAAACAAAUACAAAUUGAUUUUCAAAAAGAAUAAUAAAAUGUAUUUGUGGGUCACACAUGAAACAAAAAUAUGUGAUUCUUGAAAAAAAAAUAAUAGAUUCUUCUAGAAAACUAUUUUGACAAUUAAUUAUACAAUUAUAAAUUUAAAACUUAACCCAUAAAAAUAAUUAAAAUUACAAAAUUGUCAUUGAUUGGCCUCAUCAUGACUCUUAUGUAUAAUAGAAACUAGAUAAUUGAAGGCCCGUUCAUGGGCUCAAUAUAAUUAAUUAUUUUUUUCAAUUUUAAGUUAAAAAAAUUAUCCAAAUUAAUAUCUUAUUUUAUCAUAGUUUCUAAAAUUUUCUACUAUUUAAACAAUUACAAAAAUGUCCUCUAAGAUACAUUCUUAUCCUCUGUCGGACACAUCAGUAUCUCCUCUCGAAUACAUUCCUAUCAUUUCUUGAAUACAUCUUUAUCUCAUCCUGAAACAUCCAUAUCCUCUCUGGGAUACAUCUCUCCCCUUUCGGAUACAUUCAUUCUCUCUCGAAUACAUCCCUACCUUCUCGAAAUCAUCGUGAGCUCUAUGUCUGCAAGUUUCCUCAAUAGCAAUGUAUCACGAUCGAUGUAUCCGCAUGUGUUGAUUUAUCUGAAAUUAUUUAAUUUUAAAAAGAUUUCGUAAUUUGAAAAAAGUAGGAAUAUAAUGUAAUUAACUCUUUACUCUAUGACAUAUUUUUCUUUGUAGUCAGUUUCAAAAGAAUGAUGUAUAACAUAUUUAAAUAACAUUUUGACUUUAAAAUAUUCAUUCUAUUCUUAGUAAUAUUAUUUAUAGUCAUAUGAACAUCUAUGGUUUGUUUUAGACCAUGAGUUUUAGAAGUGUUUUUUCUUUUAAAAAUUUUCGUGUUAAGUUAAAUUAAAAUUCCAUAAACCGAAAGGGAGUGAGUACAAACUUUAGAUCAAUUUUAUAUUUAUAAAAUUAAAGUUUUUGUAACUAUUUUGUCUUUUAACAAAAUUUAAAAUGAAAUAAUUCACAAUUAUUUUUAUAGUAUUUUUUUAAAAUCAAUAUUCUAUCAAUAAUAAUAAAUUUUUUUUAAUUUAAAUAAGAUAAUAAAGUAUUUUAAUUUUGAAAUUCAUGUAUUGAUAUCAAUUGAGAAAAUAUUUAAUUUUAAGUUGUAAAACAUUCAUAAUCUAAUAUUUAAUGUGCUCCUUACUCUCGAUGAAUGACACUAAUUUAUAAUAAUUCAAGAUUGCAAGAAGUAGAAAUCGAGACUAAAACGUGCAACUCACUAUUAUAUGAAGGUCACUAUGUAAUUUAUCUAUUGUGGAAGUCUCAUUAGUAUAUGAUAGAUAAUUCUAUGCCAAAUUAAUUUUUGUUUUCAUAUAUUUAUACAAUUUCAAAAUUUAUCCCGUUAAUUGGUUAUGUAUUUUAUUAAACUACAACUGCACUCAUUAUUUCAUCUUUUUUUUUUAUUCUUACAUUAUCAACUCUAUUUUUUUAUCUCUUUAGAAUUGUGAUACUUUUGUUUUCUUAUUUAAAUCACAAUGUUUUAAAGAUAAAACAAAUUUUAUUUUGGAGAUUAAAUAAAUAUUAUUUUGAAGAUAAAAUAAAAAAAAGAUUUACUAACCUACAACCAGGAAGAUCCACUUUGAAACCCAGCGACGAAGAAAACUUUGAAACUCUUAGCCGCGAAAUGAGGGUGAAAGAGUAAAAUCAUUUCUGGAAAAUAAUGAAACGAGGGGGAAAAAAGCGUAAUAAAGAUUUAAGGAAUUAGUCUAUGUGGUAGUGGACCCUAUUGACAUGCAAUAUGGAAUUCACAUAGCAUUUAACAACUUCUCUUAAUUAGAAGGGCAAUUUUGACCCAAUAGUUUCACGGAAAGGGUACUUUUGAGCCGAAAUAUACUUUAAGGGUAAAUAUGAGUUAUUUCAGAUAGUUUAAAAGUAUUUUUUACCCUUUUACUUUUAGUCUACGUGGUAGUGGAACCCUAUUGACGUGCAAUGUGAUGGCAUUUAACAACUUCCAUUAAUAAGAAUUGCACUUUUGACACAAUAGUUUGACGGGGAGGAGAGUUUUGAGCGGAAAUAUAAUUUAAGGUAAAUAUGAAAUAUUUCAGAUAGUUUAAGGAUAUCUUUGACCCUUUUAUGUUAAAACUAUAUGAAUACUUAUGUCUAAAAAACAUUGUAUAAAAUUAAAAGGAAAUUAAAUCAUGGAAGAUGGUAGGUUAUACUGAAUAUGUUGUAGUAACAACAAACAUAUAUAAACUAUUAAGUUGUAUAAAUAUUUUUUAUUUAUUAUAAUCAAACAAAUAAAAGUUAAUUUUUAAAAAUUAAAUAAAAUGAUUACAUGGAGUCACCAUGAAACAAAACUUUUUGUGACUCUUGAAAAAGAUUAUUGGAUACUUCUAGAAAAUUAUUUUGACCACUGAUUAUGCAAUUAUAAAGUUGUAAUUUUGCCCAUAAAUAAUGUUUAAAAUUACAAUAUUGUCAUUGGUCAUCCUAAUCAUGACUCUUCUAUAUAAUAGAAAUAAUAAUAACUAGAUAUCAGGUGCCCGUGCUAACGCAAACGCAACGUAUGUUAGAUUUUUCUUCUUCCAAUUUAUGUGACAAAAAUGAAAUUUGAAAAAAAUGAACUAAAUUUUUUAUAUGUGUUUUUUUUAAAAAUAUUUUAAAUUAUUAAUUUAUGUAUCUUUUUUGUCAUUUUCGAAUAAUAUAUGUUACUUUAUCUAUUUUAUUUUAUAUGAUACAAGUGAUUUUAGGAAAGUAAACGAAAUUUCUUAUAUGAUUUUCAUAUAUUUUUAGUUGUCAUUUUACUGCGAUUCAUAGUACUUUUUAGUUAUUACGUUAUUUUCAAACAAUAUAUGCAACUUUUUUUUUGUUUCAAUAAAAAUAAGGGAGUCAACAAAAUUUCAUUAUGUUUUUUCAACUACAUUUUUCUAAAAAUAUUUUAAAUUGUUACAUUGCUUUUUAAAGUUUUUUUAAAUGUAACUUUCAAAUAUGUAACAAAUUAGAAAUUAAAACGAAGAAUUAAAGUUUUCAAAUCAUUAUAUUUCUAUAUUAGAAUAUUAAAACCUUUAAAACUACAUAUAUAUGCAUAAAUUAGUAGAAGGAAGCCUAACAACUUAUUUUUAAAAAAAUAUAUGAGAGCUCAUUUUAAUAGUAAUACAUACAUAUUUCAUUUUUCAAUAUCCGAAUCCCUCCUUUUCGAUUUAUAUAAAUUUAAUUUAAUUUAAUUUUUAUUUUGUUUCAAAAAGAAAAUAACUUCUGAAUUUUAUUUGUUUAUAAAGCAUAUUUAAGAUCACAAAAUCAAAAAAAAAUUUCAAUUCACAAAAUUUAAAUAUACAUAUAAAUUUUAAUUUUAAUUUUGAUUGGUUCCACCUAAUAUUAUACUUGAUAUAUAAUUAUUAAGAGCUAAGCGUAAUCAUUAUCUAUUUACUUUCGUAUAAUAAAUAGAUAUCACAAUAACUCUUAAAAAAUGAAGAAAUAACGAAAAUGAGGUAAUACUAAUAAUAAUCACUAAAGAUUUUCUAGAACUAGUUAAAUUUCUUGUUAUCAAUCGUGUUAGUUUUUUGCUUGCAUAAAUUACAUUUUUACCUUCGAUCAUCAUUCACUUCAUAUAUAGAAAGAUGUUUCUAGAAUUAUUUAUUCUUGAUAAAUUUUUGUUAGAAUGAAAUUACAUUUUAUUCUUAGUCGUCUUUAAUACAAAGUAUCAUCCUAUUCAUUUUUUAUUUGUCAAGUUACUUUUUAAGAUCUUUUUCUUUAAUUUCAGUCUAAUAUAUAUUAUUAAUUUAUCACACUUAUUUAUUUUCAAGUAUAUUAUUAGAGUCAAAAUAAAGAUGAAAAUAAUUAAUUCAUGAUAACUUUUUAUAUAAAAAGUAGGCAUAUAUUAUAAGCAUAAUGAAUAGAAAAAAAUAUUAAGAAUUAAUUUAAAGUAAUAGUAAAGUAGAGUAAUUAUAAAAUAGAUAUCACAAUAACUCACAAAAGAAAAGAAAGUGAAGUGAUAACAAAAUAAGUUAAUGGUAAUAAUAAUAACUUAAAAUAUUUCUAGAACUAUUAUUUUUAUUUUUUUUUGUUAUCAUUCUUCAUAGAUUUUUGUUAGCAUGAAAUUAUAUUUUUGCUGUAACGACCUAUUUAGUCGUUUGGAGCAGCAGAGUUAAUUUCUGAAAAUCACUGUCUGGGUCGACGGAUCCCACGACAGACCGUCAUGGGCACGACGGACCGUCGAGGGUGUCUCGUGCCAAAACACUUAGAAUUUAGAAAUUUGGGUACUGAGAUCGACUCUCUGAACUUCACGACGAAAUGGCAGGACGGACCGUUGAGGGCUCGACGGACCGUCACAAAUCCUUCCGCAGAAUUAACUCUCUGAACCUUGUGACGGACGUGCAGGACGGACCGUCACAGGCUGCGUGACCCUGACUGGGUCGGAUUUCUGUUAAAUAUUUUAAGGGGCGUUUUGGACUAUUCCUACUUAUAAUUAUAAAGUUAGUGGUUUAAUGUUAAUAAUUUAAUUACUUGGGGGUUAAAAGAGAGAACCUUGAAACAAAUAGUGGGAUAUUUUAUCAUCUUUUAUACUUAAUUAUAUGCUAAUUAGGGUAAAAGAAAGAGGGUUUGAAUAAGAAAAAGAAAAAGAACAGAGAGAGAGGGAGAAACGAUCGAUUGAGAGAGAAGAAGAACGCAGCUUUGGGAAAGUAGAUUGCUUGAUCACAAUCCUUCGGUGGAGGUAGGUUAUGGUUUAUGCUAUUCGUAGUAAACUCUUAAUAGCGAAUGAUAUGUAUUGGGUAGUGUUGUAAACCCUUCUAUAUGCUUAAUUGUAUGCUUGCAUGAAUGUGAUUAUAUAAUUGUGAUAAAAUAAGCAUGAUGAAGCUAUUGAAUCCUAAAUCUUGAAAAUCCUAAUCUACUUUGUUAAUGAUGAUGCCUUGGUAUAAAAGAAGGCUUGAUGAACGAAAGUAGUAAGAUUAGGGGAUCGGAGUGUCACGUUCCGACACCAGGAUAGUAUAUGGAUCGGGUGCCACGUUCCGGUACCAGGAUAGUAUAUGAGGAUCGGAGUGUCACGUUCCGACACCAGGAUAGUAUAUGGAUCGGGUGCCACGUUCCGGUACCAGGAUAGUAUAUGAGGAUCGGAGUGCCACGUUCCGGUACAAGGAUAGUAUAUGAGGAUCGGAGUGUCACGUUCCGACACCAGGAUAGUAUAUGGAUCGGGUGCCACGUUCCGGUACCAGGAUAGUAUGAUGAGGAUCGGAGUGUCACGUUCGGACACCAGGAUAGUAUAUGGAUCGGGGUGUCACGUACCGACACGAGAGAAAUAAAGAUAAUGAAUCUUGAAAGAUGUUAAUAUACUCAAUUUAAUGAACCUAAUUCCCAAAUGAGUAUGAUGGGGAGGCGUGAGUCCUCAUUGAUGUGCUUGGUGUUGUGACCAAGAGUUAUGAUAAUUAUAAAUGCCGCAUGUUGAGUAUUGUAGUUGAUUUUAUGAUAUAUAUCAUAUUAUCUGAUAUAUACUAUUUUCUAUUUUGAGUUGGCCGAUGAUAUCUACUCAGUACUCGUGUUUUGUACUGACCCCUACUUGUAAUUGUUUUUCUUUGUUAUUUGUGGAGUGCAGCAAACGUACCGUCGUCUUCAACUCAACCGCAACUCUAGCCAGUCUUCAUUACACCGGAUUUCAGGGUGAGCUAACGCUUCUAGCUUGGACUGGAUCUUCUUCUUCAUGUCUUGAUGCCUUGAAGUUCCGGCAUGGACUAGCUUUUUAUUUAUUCUAGCUUUCUAGAUACUCUUAGAAUUAGUAAUUUAAGGAUAGAUGUUCUUGUGAUGAUGACUUCCAGAUUUUGGGAAUAAUAAGUAUUGAGUUUUUAGAAGUUAUUUAACCGAUUUUCAUUAAUGAGUUUAAGUCUUCCGCAUUAUAUUCUGUUUAUUAUGGUUCAAAUGUUGGGGUUUAGAUUGGUUGGUUCGCUCACAUAGGAGGGUAAGUGUGGGUGCCACUCGCGGCCCGCUUUGGGUCGUGACAUUUGCCCUUGAUUAUUAUUUACUUCAUAUAUAGAAAGAUGUUUCUAGUAUUAUCAAUUAUCUUGCUUAAUAGAUUUUUGUUAGCGUGAAAUUACAUUUUUGCCCUUAAUCGUCCUCCCACUUCACUCUUCUAUAUAAUUGAAUAGAAAUACAUUAUAUAAAAUAAAUAUUUAUAAAUGAUUAUAAGUUUUCUAUAUCCUUUUUAUAGUGAUUAAUUUACAAUAGGUAAAUGGAUAUGUAUGGGUAAUAAAAUAUAUAUGAGAAUAGUAAUUUAAUUGUGAUAUAUGGCAAAUUCAUCAAAUAGUCAGUCUCUAAUAAUUUAUAUAUUAGUAGUGAAGUAUAAUGUUAAAUUUUAAACGAGGAUUUACAUAACGUGAGAAAGACUUCUUUUCUUUUUUAUUUUCUCAAGAGAUUUUUACAUUUUAAAAUUAGUUUAUAACUUAACAUUAAAUUACUUUAUAUGUAUUUUACUUAUUCAAACUCUCACAUAAUUACUUGUACAUUUGUUUAUUUAUGGUCUUCAUAUAUAACCCCUAGUAUAGCCUUGCUAAACUAAAUUUUGAAAAUUAUUACUAGUAAGGUGUUUGUUUCCUCACCUCAUAUAUUUACAUCAUAUGCAUAAAAAUUAUGUAAAAUGAAUAACAUAUUUUUUUAUUUAUUUUUAAAGAGACUAGUUAUUUGGGGCCGCUAAAGCCUACUUCAAAAUUAGCAAAUCAAAAGAAAGGAAGUGUACCUAUCAACCAAGUAAAAAUGUCAACUACUUCUAAAAAGUUUGGACAAUUUUUAAGACUAUGAAAAUAUAGAGACAUAGUAAAAUAUUGCGUGAAUCACUUAAUAAAAUCGAAAACAUAAUAUAUUGGAGAUAGUUUUACUAAAAAUAAUUUUACAAUAAAAUUGAAAUGUGUACAUAUUUAUUGAAUUGUGGGUAUAGAGACAAUUUUUAAGCUUUUUUCUGAUUUACAUAUAUUAAAUCGCGAAAGAAGUCAUGUGUUCUUAAUAAAAUAAUCGCUAAUGGCAAUUAUAUUUGCUGCUAAAAUUCUUCCUCUAAAUAACUUAAUUUACACUUUUAGCGUUUAAGACGCAAUGUCCAUCUUAAACUAAUAAAUAUGAGAAAUAAAUAAACUCAAUUGGGGGAUAACAAUUUCUUAAUUAGUAUGUUAUAUAUACAUUAUUUCAAUUAUACUUUCGAGUUUUGAUAUUACGAAAAUAUAAUGUCAAACUUUAAAGACAAGAAUUUACAAAUGAGAACGACUUUUUUUUAAAAAUAUAAUGUCAAACUUUAAAGACAAGAAUUUACAAACCAUGAGAACGACUUUUUUUUAAUUAUACGUUUUAUUAUAUAUAUAUAUAUAUAUAUACAUACACACACACAUAUAUAUACAUAUAUCAUUGACUCUAUAUAUAUAAGAUAGGAAAGAGGUUAAAAUAUAUCAUUGAACUUUCAGAAAAAAACUCAUUUAUUCAUCAGUUAAAAGUUUGGCUCAUUUAUGCCAUUACCGUUUAAAAAAGAUUCAUUCUUGCCAUUAUUUUUUAAUAAUGGUUUCGCAAAACCAUUUUUAAUACGUGACCAAUUAUAAUUCGGCUACGUCCUCAAUUUAUUUAAUUAAAAAAUCAUCAUUCUAAAAAAAAUUGAAUUCAUUUUUUUUGAUUUUUUUAUUAAAUAAAUUGAUGACAUGGCUAAUUAGAAUUCAGUGGGAUUUCUUAAAUUUGGGCGGGUCUUUAUUUGAGUGGGGUUUUUAUUUAAUGUUUUCUCAGAAUUGAUUUUUUAUCAAAAAAAAAUAAAAAUGAUGUGGCCGAAUCAUAACUUGUCACGUGUGAAAAGUGGUUGGGCAAAAUCGCCGUUAAAAACUAAUGGCAUGAAUGAGUCUUUUCCUAAAUGGUAAUAACAUGAACGAGUCAAACUUUUAACGGAUGACAUAAAUGAGUCUUUUCUAAAAGUUCAACGGCAUAUUUGAGCUUUUUCACUUAUUAAAAAAGUGGCUUACAUACACUCAUAUUAUUACAUAAAUAUUCUAAAAUAUACCAUUUUGUUCUAACGGGAGUGAAAACAAAUAUUUUUUUAAACAUAAUUUUUUAUUUUUAAGAAGUAAAAUCUGAAUAUAUUAUCUUCCACUUUCCUAGAAAAUAUUAUCCUACAAGAUUUUUUAUUUUUAAAAAUUAAAAUUAAUAUUUUCACUUCCAUUAGAUGAUGAAGAUAUACCUGAAUCACUUUUAUAAUGGUAAGGAUAUGUAUGAACUCUUUUAAUUCAAAUGUGAAUUAUUUUAUAAUGAGCGAUAUAACAAUUUUAAAUUGCAAAGUUAUGAAGACCUUUUUAUUUAGGGAAAAGGGUCUGAUAUACCCCUCAACUUUGUCAUUUAGAGCUGAUAUGCCCCUUGUUGUGAAAGUGGCUCAUAUAUACCCUUACUUGUAAACAAAUGGCUCACAUAUACCCUUUUCCUCUAACGGAAAUGGAAAAAAAAAUAAUUUUAAUCUAAUUUUUUAAUAUUUUUUGUCUAAAAAUUAUAAUCCCAUAUGAGUAAAUUUAAUCCUCGUAAAACAUAUUUUUUUAACCUUUUUUAGUUUCAAUGACUAAUUUAUAAUUAUUAUUUUGAUAAUCAAAUUUAUUUAUGUUUCACUAAUAUUCUUGUAAAACUUAUUGUAGAUAACCAAAUUUUUUCUUCGAAUAUGAAAUUAAAUUACAAUACACACAAAAAAUAGUUUAAAUUUUUUCUCUUUAAACUAAGGAUUGAAAGAAAAAACAUAAGAAUAAGAAACUCAAAUAAUUAUAAUAAAAAAAGUCAAAAAAUAAUUUAUAUAUGAAAAAAAUCAAAAUAUACCUUGAACUUUGAUAGAAGAAUCAUAUAUAUCCCUAAAUAAUUUUUUAAAAAAAAUUACAAGUAAUAAAUAUCAAUUUAAAACUAAUUUUUUAACUUCCGUUAAAUGAAGGGUAUAUAUGAGCCAUUUUGUAACGGGAGGGGUAUAUGUGAGCCGUUUGUAUAACGGUAAGGGCAUAUAUGAGCCACUUUUAUAACGGGGGGUAUAUUAGCUCCAAAUAACAAAGUUGAGGGGUAUAUCAGACUCUUUUUCCUUUUAUUUAUUGUAUAAAAGCAUUUCAUAUACUAGUUACAUAUUUAAAUAUUGAAAAUGUUGAUAAGAGAUCCCAUUAAAUGCUAAAGUAUUGGUAUUUUAAAAAAAUUUCCUUUUAUUUAUUGUAUAUAUCUAACAUCUCGUAACUUCAAAUAACUAAGAAUAAACUAAGAAAUCAAGAAUAAUCAUUUUUGGAAAUAAAUAGGAAAUCUGAAAAAUUUCCCAAGUGUAAAAGUGAGUUUUUGGUCAAUUUCAAACGACCAUAACUCCCAGCUUAGGAGGAGUUAGUGUGAGUUCCUUAUAUGGUUGGAAAUCCCUUGGAAAGAAAUUUCCAACAACGCCAAGUUUGUACAUUUUAGAUGUCGUAUGAAGGAGAUAUGACUUUCGAAAGUUUGGUUGUUGGAGUGAGGAAAAUUCAAUCCGGAUUUAGUAAGGAUAAAGUAGUCUUUUCACCCUAGUAUUUUCUAAUUCGUUUUAAGGGUUUAUUAGGGGUAAAAUCAAGUCCAUAUUCAGUUUUGAAAAAGUUGAGAACGCUCAUGGCUUGGGAGAAAAGAGAAGAGAAGAGAAGAGAAAACCAAAAUUUCUUCAAGAACGCUAAGGUUUCGCUAGAGGAAUUCAUCGGGGGUGAUCUCUAUCGAGGUAUAUGAGAUCUUUCUAUGUUGGGUUCGUUCACCCACACACCAACAUGUUUAUUUAGCAAUUUUUGUAUUGAUUGAAUAAUGAAUCUUGAAGUUCUUGAUGAGCAAUUGUUGAAUCCUUAUUGGUAGAGUUGUAGUGUACCUUUAGUUGGUGUUGAUUCGUAUUUUCAGGCUGUUUUACGAGUCUAAACUAUUGGGUAUUGAGUAUAUUAGUGAUUGAUACGCUCAAACUUACUUUUUAAAUAAGAAGUAAAGCAGUAAAUGGGGGUUUCUAUUCCUAAAUAAAUGAAAAUAACUAGCGAAAUUAAAGGAGACAACUAACAACUUCGAAUGUUGGAGUUUAAUCACUUAAUCAAAGUAACUAGGGUUUACGUGUUCCCCACAGGUUCAUAACUUGAUAAUUCUAACUAUAACAAUUCUUUCCUAGUAUCUUGCAUGCAAAGUGAUAAGUUAUGUAUUUCUAAAUCCUUGGUCCGGCAUCUAGAAAAUUUCACUCGGCACCUUGGUCCGACUACGUGUGUUGCUAUACUAACCCUUAUAUUUACCUCAUAUUAAGCAUCGUAUUCGAUAUUUGACUAAGUUAUUACCCCGUACCAAUCAAUACUAGCCUAUUAGAUAGUAUACACUAAAUUUAUAUUGAUAAUUCUUUUCCUAUUAUCUACCUCCUUGGUCCGACAAGUAGCAUUAAGGCGAGUUCUAACGUUGGCCAUCCGUUAAAAAGACUUCCAAGCGAAAGAAUUAUCAAUACAUGCAAGACACUAUUCUAGAAUUGUUAUUUUAGUUAGAUUUUACCUCAUUAUUCGCCUAUGGUUCCCACAACCCUAAUUAUGGAGUUUAGUUACCCAUAAUCAUAAUCACAAUAUUCAAAUAUAUGAUAUAAGAAUUCAUGCACUUACUUCAAUGAGAAAGAGUAAAAUCCAAAAGUUAGCUUGAUUAAUCAACAAUCAAUUACAAGAAUAUCAAAAUAAUCAAGAAUCUCACAAAAAGUCUAAAAAAUAAUCAAGAGUCUAACAAUAAUCAAGGGCCUAACCAAAUAAUCCAGAGUCUAACCUCAAAAACGAGGUUUUUCAAACUAUUUAUAAAAAAUAAAAACCUAAUUACAUAAGGACUCUAUUUGCUGGAAAUCUGUCAAAACGCGGCUGGGUCAACGGACCUCGCGACGCAUCGUCGUGGUCACGACGGACCGUCAUGGACUCCGUCGUCCCAUACUUGAUGCAAUUUCUUAUGCUGCUCUCUUCAUUACUCUCGACAGCAGGUAUGAUGGAUCGUUACAGGCACAACGAUCCGUCGAGGGUCUCCGUUCCAAAACACUUGAACUCUUGGAAUAUGGGUACUGGGACUACUUCUCUGAACUUCAUGACGAACCUGCAGGACGGACCGUCAUGGAUACGACGGUCCGUCACGCAUUUUGUAACCCCACACUUGGUCAGACUUCCCCAUUUUCCUUCAGCAGCUGCACUACGUUGCCACCUACGGACCGUCACGAGCAUGACGGACCGUCACAAGCAUGACGGACCGUCACAAGCAUGACGGACCGUCACAAGCUCCGUAGGUGGUCUCUUCUGCAUUUCUUUGCUCAAAAACCUCCGCAUUCAUCUUUGGAUAGAUUUCCUGCAAAUAAGGAGAAACUUAUAUAAAAAUUAGCACAAAAAGAUUUUGGACACACUAACUUAAGGAAAAAAUAUUAAUAAUACCGUGACACCAUAGUAUAUCAGUGAUCCUAAGUGUUUGGGAAAAAUCCAUGAAUGUUUUGAAGGUUUAGAGUUGAAAAUCGGAGAAGAAAAGUCAGAAAACUCGUCUGACAGGUCUUGUGGCACCGUGCCUACAAGAGCCCCUCAGGACAGACUCUUUCUGUCAGGCUCUGGCGCGCCGCCGUGCCAGCUAGAGCGCCUGAAGACAGUGUCUGUCGGUCAGGCGCUGGUGCCCCGCGCCUCUCAGAGCGCCAGGGUCACCUGGAGAUUCUAUUUCUCUCCCAUCUUUUAGUACGAGUUCCUAAGUGACGUAUCUAUUAUUUCUAGUUAGUUCCAAUACUCUAAAGUAAAUAUAAACAUUAUGAAAUCAUCCAUAAUAAUGAGAUCAGGAUCCGUGAAUGCAUAAUCCAAUUCAAGGGAAGUUAAGAUCAAAGUCAAAAAAAGUUAAGAGUCAAGUCUAAAAGUUAAAAAACAAGUCAAAGUAAGUUCCUAAAGCAUUCAAGAGUCUUAAACAAACAUUUUAACUUUGUUUUAAGGUUCAAGCAAUGAGUUGAGCAAAGAGUAAAAGAGUUGAGUUAAAUUUUCAAAAGCUAUAAGGGAACUAAGUAUUCCCUAAGAGUUAAGUUUCAAGUUAAGCAAAUAGUAACAAGUUGAGUUCACUUCUCAAGAGUUAGAAGGGAACUAAGUAGUCUCUAACAGUUUAAACAAGAUGUUUUUAAACUUUUGAGAAAGAAAGGAAGCUAGACUUCCACAGAGCCUAUGACUAGUUUUAGUAAAAGAAAAAGGAAACUAUGAUUUCUAAGAAAGUUUUUGAAGCAAAGUUUGAGAAAUUAUCUCAAACUAGAGAAGAAGUUGUUUUAAAAAAACAUAUGAGCUAAGUAUUUUGGGAGUAGUAUUGAGCACCGAUAUGGUGACGCGAGUUCAUAUUAACUCAAGUCUCCAUAAACCAUUGAGCCAACAUGGAGAUAUAAAAGAUCAUACUUUUUAGAUGAUUCCUUAGUAAUUUUAGCAUAGACUAGUGAAUCCUCUUAGUAGUUCAGGUUCUAUAUCGACGACAAGGUAUAGAGUGGUCCUCUUGCAACAUGAGGUAAUACGUUGUACCAUCACUUAGGCUCAUAGAUGGUUGUCGGUUAGAUAAUCUCUCAAAGAAAUUAUAAUACUUUCAAAUAUAUGAGUAAAGUUGAGUUUAUUAUUGAUUUAUCUUUAAUGAACUAAGUGUUUACACUGUUUUACAAGCUUUUCUUAUAUCGCAUGUGUCCUUACUGCUUUAUAUUGAGUCGUUAUUUCAUGAGUUGAGCAGAACCAAGGUAAGUUCUUCCUUACUCCUUUCAAGCCUUAUAGUAGUGUUUAGUAUUCCAAUUCGCAUACUCGUUUGGCCUGCAUGCAUCGCCUUAUAAUGCAGAAGCAGGUAAUUAGGAUCAACAUGCAGCACUUUGUUGAACCAGUUUGAGCUCUAGAGUCAGUGGUGAGCCUCCAUGCAUUUCGGAGGAUCCUUUUAUUGCUAUCUAGUUAGUUCAAUAGAAUGUUGUGGGGUUUGUCCCAACAUUCAUCUCAGUCAGUUUAGAGGUUUCAUAGACGGAUAGUAGUAGUUAAGUUGUGUCUCUUUAUUUCAGAUUCUAUAUUUGAGACUUAAGUGCAAAUUUGGCCAAGACAGUAUUUAAAGUCAUUUUUAUGAGAACUUCUUCAAUUCUAUAACUGAAUUAAGUUGAGUCUUCCGCUGAGUUAAGUAAGUCAGACCAAGAGUUCCCUUGAGGCCAGCAAUGGUCACCAAGUGCUAGUCCCACCCAGGGUAUAAGCUCGGAGCAUGCUAAUAUAUGCAUUUCAUAUACGACUUACGUAUUCAGAUACUUUUAACAUUUUGUUAGAGCAGAAGAGUCUUAACUUAUAUAUGUAGGUGAAGUAUUGAUAUAUUGGGAUAUUGGUACUUAUUAUUAUUUUACUUUAAUACUUAUUUAUAAGUCUACAACACACGGUAAGCACACACAAGGUGCUCAACAUGUGUGCUUGAAGUAAAUUUAAUUUUGAAUGAGGUUAAUUUGGUCAUUUUAUAUAAUACUCAAUGUUUCUUUUACUUGUACAAAAUGCAAAAUUGCUUUUAUGGACAUCAAAUGACCAAAAACCCAGUAUCCUUUAACUCAUUGUCAUAUGUUAUAGAACAUUGCAAUUGGUUGAAAAUGAACUUUAAUGUAGUUGCAAUAUAAUUAUUUUUACUUCUUGUCAAAACUGCCCCUAUGCGGCUUAAGCUUAUUUUAUCAACUAUUUGUUAUUACGUGGAGAAAUUAAAGACAUCUUUAGAUGAGUCCUUUUAAGCGGUACCGACCUAGAUAUAUAUAUUCUUUUCGUUUUAUUUAUGUCAUUUUUACUAAAAAUAGGUAAUAUUUAAUAUUUAUCAUUUCACAAAAGUAAUGCAUUAUAUAGUAAUGAAAUCGACUCUCUGAACUCUGUGACGGACCGUCACAGGUACGACGAACCGUCGUGAGCCCCCGUUUCAAAACACUUCAACUCUUGAGAAUUUGGUACAGGGAACGAUUCUCUGAACGUCAUGACGGAGGUGCAGGACGGACCGUCGUAGGUACGAUGGGCUGUCACAGACUCCUUAAGGAAAUCGAGUCUUUGACGAACCUGCAUGACGGACCGUCGCAGGCACGACGGGCCGUCGCAGGUUGCGCAAUCCCAGUCUGGGUCAGAUUUCUUUACACAUUUUAAGGGACGUUUUUGACUAUUCCUUCUUUAAUUAUAAAGUUAGUGGGUUAAUGUUAAUAAGUCUAAUUACUUGGGGGUUAAAAGAGGUAACCUCAAGUUAAUUAGUGGGUUAUUAUUGCCAUCUUUCAUUCUUAAUUAUAUACUAAUUAGGGUAAAAGAAAGAGGGUUUGAAUAAAGAAAAUAGAAAGAACACAAAGAGAGAGAGGGAGAAUCGAACGAGAAGGUGAAAAGAAGAGGAGAAACACAAAGCUUUGGGAAAUUGCUUGCUUGAUUUCUUGUCUUCGGUGGAGGUAGGUUUUGGUUUUCAUGCUAUUCGUAGUAAACUCUUAAUAGCGAAUGAUAUGUGUUAGUAGUAUUGUAAACCCUUCUAUAUGCUUAAUUGUAUGCUUGCAUGAAUGAUGUGAUUAUGGAAUUAUGAAUAAAUAAGCAUGAUGAAGUUAUUGAAUCCCAAAUCUUGAAAAGAAACCUUAAUCUACUUUGUUAAUGAUGAUGCCUUGGUAUAAAAGAAGGCUUGAUGAACGAAAGGGGUGAGAUUAGGGGAUCGAGUGCCACAUUCUGGUACCAGUAUAGAGAUAGAGGAUCGGGUGCCACGUUCCGGUACCAGGAUAGAAUGAGGAUCGAAGUGUCACGUUCCGACACCAGGAUAGUAUAUGGAUCGGGUGCCACGUUCCGGUACCAGGAUAGAAUGAGGAUCGGAGUGUCACGUUCCGACACCAGGAUAGUAUAUGGAUCGGGUGCCACGUUCCGGUACCAGGAUAGAAUGAGGAUCGGAGUGUCACGUUCCGACACCAGGAUAGUAUAUGGAUCGGAGUGUCACGUACCGACACGAGGGGAAUAAAUAUAAUGAAUCUUGUAAGAUGCUAAUAUACUCAAUUUAAUGAAACUAAUUCCCAAAUGAGUAUGAUAUUGAGGCUUGAGUCCUCACGUGUGAACUUGACGGUAUUUGUUAAUGAUAUAGUACUUGUUGUUGCUACAUGUUGAGUAUCAUAGUUGAUUUUAUGAUAUUGCUUAAUAUAUAUUGUUUUCUAAUUUCGAGUUGACCGAUGAUAUCUACUCAGUACCCGUGUUUUGUACUGACCCCUACUUUUGUGUUUUCUUCUUUGUUAUUUGUGGAGUGCAGCAAACAUGCCGUCGUCUUCGACUCAACAGUAUUCAAGCCAGUCUUUACUACACCGGAAAUUCAGGGUGAGCUAAUGCUUCUAGCUUGGACUGGAUCUUCUUCUUCAAGUCUUGAUGCCUUGAACUUCCGGCAUGGACUAGCUUCUUAUGUAUUUUUAGCUUCUUAGACAUUUUUAGUUAGUAAUUUGAUCAUAGAUGUUCUUGUGAUGAUGACUUCCAGAUUUUGGGGAAUAAUAGUUAUUGAAUUGGUUUUUAUUUAAUGAGCUUAAGUCUUCCGCAUUAUUUUCUAUUGAUAUACGUUGAAAUGAUAAGGUUUAGAUUGGUUGGUUCGCUCACAUAGGAGGGUAAAUGUGGGUGCCAGUCGCGGCUCGGUUUUGGGUCGUGACAAACCUUGUAUCAGAGCAUUAGGUUCGUUGGUCUCAUCACACAAGAACGAGUCUAGUAGAGUCUUAAGGAACGGUAGGGGGGCGCCUUUACUUUUCUUUGAGGGGCUAUAAGACUUUAGGAAAUUCCAUUCUUUCUUAUCUCUUUCGUGAUACUACUUGAAUCCAAUUGGUAUCUAGGUGAUUCAAAUUGGUAUCUGACCAUCUUCACUCUAUUUCGCAGAUGGUUAGAACUAGAUCAACGACUGCGCCAACACCAACACCGGCAAGACAAGAAACGUCUGAGCCAGCCACUGGGGCUGUGGCUCAAGGAAGAGCAAUAGCAAGAGGUCGUGGUAGAGUUCGUGGGAGGACGUCCUCUAGAGGGAGAGGACGAGUACCUAGCCCAUCUGAUGCUAGGGCGGUGACUCCUCCACCGACUGAGGAAGUAGUAAGAGAGGGUGAGGAAGGGGAGAAUGAACAAGUGCAAAAUGAUGAAUUGCCACCCCAACCUACCCCAGAGAUGAUCAAUCAGGUUCUCGCUUAUCUUAGUGGGUUAUCUGAUUAGGGCCAGACACCUCCAGUGUUUUCUGCACCAGUACCUCAGGUUCCGGAGGUACAACAUGCGGCUACUAUGGCUCCUCGUAUGGAUGCCUCAUUGGACAUAGGCACGUUUCCACGUCUGACUACUGGGCCUAUAAUGACAAAUGAUCAGCAUGAACUUUUCAGUAAGUUCUUGAAAUUGAAACCCCCAGUCUUCAAGGGUGCUGAAUCUGAGAAUGCUUACGAUUUUCUGGUUGACUGUCAUGAGCUACUACACAAGAUGGGUAUAGUAGAACGGUUUGGUGUUGAGUUCGUGAGUUAUCAGUUUCAAGGGAACGCCAAAAUGUGGUGGCGGUCACAUGUUGAGUGUCAACCAACAGAGGCACCACCUAUGACUUGGGCCUCAUUCUCUAGCUUGUUUAUGGAGAAGUGUGUCAACCAACAGAGGCACCACCUAUGACUUGGGCCUCAUUCUCUAGCUUGUUUAUGGAGAAGUAUAUCCCCCAGACUUUGAGGGAUAGGAAAAGGGAUGAGUUCUUGAGCCUAGAUCAAGGUAGGAUGUCGGUUAAUGCAUAUGAGGCUAGGUUUCGCGCACUAUCCAGGUAUGCCACUCAACUUUGUUUCAGUCUACAAGAGCGGAUUCGCCGGUUUGUGAAGGGGUUGAGGUCAGAGUUGCGGAUUUCGGCCUUACAGGUAGCGGCUACGGCAAAAUCCUUCCUAGAAGUGGUAGACUUCGUGAUAGAGGUGGAAGGAGUGAAGCCCAAUGACUUCACCUCGACAUCGACAUCAAAAAGGUUUCGAAAGGGAGGUGAGUUUAAUGGUUCUUACCCUAGGGGAUAGGGUUUCGGAGGUUACUCAGUCCGACCGAUUCAGUCUUCACUACAGACUGUAGUUGGGGGUCCACCUCAGACCGGUCAAAACUUCCUUGAGAGACCUAUGCAUGAACCAAGAAAGUGCUAUGGAUGUGGGGAGAUUGGAAAUAUUAAGAGAUAUUGUCCAAAACAGAGUUACCGACCCCCAAUAGCUAGAGGUAGAGGUGGUUAUGGAAGAAGUCGUCAUUCUGGAGGACGCGGUGGUCGAGGUAAUGGUGGUCACCAAAACGGCCGGGGUGAUGGGCAAACUGGAGCCACUACAUCACAACAUGGUAGGGGCAAUAGACAGACAAGUAAUGGGGCUCAUUGCUACGCUUUUCCUGGGAGAUCUGAAACGGAGACAUCAGAUGCUGUCAUCACAGGUAAUCUUUUAAUUUGUGAUUGCAUGGCUUCUAUAUUGUUUGAUCCUGGAUCCACAUUUUCUUAUGUAUCUUCCUCAUUUGCUAAUGGUCUAAAUUUACGUUGUGAAUUACUUGACAUGCCUAUUCAUGUUUCUACUCCGGUGGGUGAGUCUGUGGUAGUUGAAAAGGUAUAUAGGUCUUGUUUGGUGAACUUUGUGGGGAGCAACAGUUAUGUAGAUUUGGUUAUCUUAGAAAUGGUUGAUUUUGAUGUAAUUCUGGGUAUGACUUGGCUUUCUCCGCAAUUUGCGAUCUUGAUUGUAAUGCUAAAACGGUGACGUUAGCCAAGCCUGGGACAGAUCCGUUAGUGUGGGAGGGUGACUACACUUCCAAUCCGGUGUGUAUCAUCUCCUUUCUUCGUGCUAAGAAAAUAGUUAGUAAAGGGUGUUUGGCUUUCUUGGCACAUCUCAAGGAUGACACUACCCAAGUACCCUCGAUUGAGUCAGUUUCGGUAGUCCGUGAGUUUUUGGAUGUGUUCCCUGCAGAUCUUCCUGGUAUGCCACCGGAUAGGGAUAUUGACUUCUGUAUUGAUCUUGAACCGGGUACUCGCCCCAUUUCUAUACCCCCUUAUAGAAUGGCUCCCGCCGAAUUGAGAGAGUUAAAGGCCCAACUUCAAGAGUUGUUGAGCAAAGGUUUCAUUAGACCAAGUGCAUCUCCUUGGGGUGCUCCGGUUUUGUUUGUAAAGACGAAGGAUGGGAGUUUUCGGAUAUGCAUAGACUACCGGCAGUUGAACAAGGUAACCAUAAAGAACAAGUAUCCUCUUCCUCGCAUUGAUGACUUGUUCGAUCAGUUACAAGGUGCUCGUGUCUUCUCUAAGAUUGACUUGAGAUCCGGUUAUCAUCAAUUGAAAAUACGGGCAACGGAUGUGCCAAAGACUGCUUUUAGAAUCAGGUAUGGGCAUUACUAAUUUGUAGUGAUGUCUUUUGGUCUUACGAAUGCCCCUACUGCGUUCAUGAGUUUGAUGAACGGGAUUUUUAAGCAAUAUUUGGAUCUCUUUGUGAUCGUAUUUAUUGAUGAUAUACUGAUAUACUCAAAGAGCAAGAAGGAACAUGAAGAGCAUUUGAGAAUGGUAUUGGAAAUGUUGAGGGAGAAAAAUCUUUAUGCCAAGUUCUCUAAGUGUGAGUUUUGGCUAGAUGCAGUGUCCUUCUUGGGGCAUUUAGUUUCUAAGGAGGGAGUGAUAGUGGAUCCUUCCAAGAUUGAGACAGUGAAGAAUUGGGUAAGACCUACUAAUGUGUCAGAAAUAAGGAGCUUUGUUGGGUUAGCUAGCUACUACCACCGAUUCGUCAAGGGAUUCUCUUCUAUUGCUUCCCAACUGACGAACUGCAAAAUGUUCCAUUUGUAUGGUCGGAUGAGUGUGAGGAAAGCUUUCAGAAGCUCAAGACUCUGUUGACUACUGCACUAAUUCUCACCUUGCCAGUGGAAGGUAGGAAUUUUAUUGUCUAUUGUGAUGCAUCCUAUUCGGGUUUGGGUGCAGUGCUAAUGCAAGAGAAGAAUGUGAUUGCUUAUGCUUCGAGGCAAUUAAAAGUGCAUGAACAUAACUAUCCAACUCAUGAUUUGGAAUUGGCUGCGGUAGUGUUUGCAUUAAAGCAAUGGAGACACUAUUUAUAUGGGGUUAAGUGUGAGGUCUACACGGAUCAUCGUAGCCUUCAGUAUGUCUUUACUCAGAAAGAUUUGAACUUGAGACAGAGGAGAUGGAUGGAGCUACUAAAGGACUAUGAUAUCACUAUCUUGUAUCAUCCGGGGAAGGCGAAUGUUGUAGCGGAUGCUUUAAGUAGAAAGGCGGGAAGCAUGGGAAGUCUAGCCCACUUGCAAGCUUCUAGACGCCCAUUGGCUAGAGAAGUUCAGAUUCUGGCUAACGACCUUAUGAGAUUAGAAGUAAAUGAGAAGGGAGGAUUUUUUGCUUGUGUGGAGGCAAGAUCUUCCUUCCUUGACAAGAUUAAGGGAAAACAGUUUGAUGAUGAGAAACUAAGCAGAAUCCAAGAUAAGGUGUUGCGAGGAGAGGCUAAGGAAGCACAAAUCGAUGAGGAAGGUGUUUUGAGUAUUAAGGGAAGGGUAUGUGUACCCCGCGUCGAUGAUUUGAUCAACACUAUUCUGACAGAGGCUCAUAGUUCAAGGUAUUCGAUACAUCCGGGUGCAACAAAGAUGUACUGUGACCUAAAGCAACACUUUUGGUGGAGUAGAAUGAAGCGUGAUAUUGUGGAUUUUAUUGUCAAAUGUCCAAACUGUCAACAAGUAAAGUAUGAACACCAAAGGCCCGGAGGAACACUUCAGAGAAUGUCCAUUCCUGAAUGGAAGUGGGAAAGGAUUGCAAUGGAUUUCGUGGUUGGUCUUCCAAGGACAUUGGGAAAGUUUGAUUCUAUUUGGGUAAUUGUUGAUAGGUUAACUAAGUAUGCUCAUUUCAUUCCAGUUAAGGUGACUUACAAUGCCGAGAGGUUAGCCAAGAUCUAUAUCUCAGAAAUCGUUCGAUUGCAUGGGGUUCCACUAUCCAUCAUAUCAGAUAGAGGUACGCAAUUUACUUCUAAGUUUUGGAAAACAUUGCAUGCGGAAUUGGGUACUAGGUUGGACCUUAGUACUGCGUUCCAUCCUCAGACCGAUGGUCAGUCUGAGCGAACGAUUCAAGUGUUGGAGGAUAUGCUUCGUGCAUGUGUGAUAGAAUUUGGUGGUCAGUGGGAUAGCUUCUUACCCUUAGCAGAGGUCUCCUACAACAAUAGCUAUCACUCAAGUAUUGAUAUGGCUCCAUUUGAAGCAUUGUAUGGUAGGAGGUGUAGGUCCCCCAUUGGUUGGUUUGAUGCAUUUGAAGUUAGACCUUGGGGUACUGACCUUUUGAGGGAUUCAUUAGAGAAAAUGAAAUCUAUUCAAGAAAAGCUUCUAGCGGCGCAAAGUGGUGAUGCGGUUUGGUAAGCAAGGUAAACUUAGCCCAAGGUAUAUUGGCCCAUUUGAAGUACUCAAGCGAAUAGGGGAGGUGGCUUAUGAGUUAGCCUUGCCUCCAAGGCUGUCCGGAGUACAUCCGGUAUUCCAUGUGUCGAUGUUGAAAAGAUACCCUGGGGAUGGAAACUACAUUAUCCGUUGGGAUUCAGUUUUGCUUGAUGAAAAUUUGACUUAUGAGGAGGAGCCUGUUGCCAUUUUAGAUAGAGAAAUUCGCAAGUGGAGAUCAAGGGAGAUUGUAUCCAUCAAAGUUCAAUAGAAGAAUCGACCAGUCGAAGAAGCCACUUGGGAGAAAGAGGCUGAUAUGCGAGAAAGAUACCCACACCUUUUACAGAUUCAGGUACUCCUUUUCGCCCUUGUUUUCCUUCUUGUGAUCGUUCGGGGACGAACGAUGGGUAAAUUGGUAUCUAUUGUAACGACCUGUUUAGUCAUUUUGAGCAGCAGACUUCAAUUCUGGAAAAACUGGCAAAAACGACUGACCCCACGACGGACCGUCAUGGGCACGACGGACCGUCGAGGGGGUCUCGUUCCAUAACACUUAGAAAAUAGAAAAUUGGGUACUGAAAUCGACUCUCUGAACUCUGUGACGGACCUGUAGGACGAACCGUCACAGGUACGACGAACCGUCGUGAGCCCCCGUUUCAAAACACUUCAACUCUUGAGAAUUUGGUACAGGGAACGAUUCUCUGAACGUCGUGACGGAGGUGCAGGACGGACCGUCGUAGGUACGAUGGGCCGUCACAGACUCUUUAAGGAAAUCGAGUAUCUGACGAACCUGCAUGACGGACCGUCGCAGGCACGACGGGCCAUCGCAGGUUGCGCAAUCCCAGUCUGGGUCGGAUUUCUUUACACGUUUUAAGGGACGUUUUUGACUAUUCCUGCUUUAAUUAUAAAGUUAGUGGGUUAAUGUUAAUAAGUCUAAUUACUUGGGGGUUAAAAGAGGUAACCUCAAGUUAAUUAAUGGGUUAUUAUUGCCAUCUUUCAUUCUUAAUUAUAUACUAAUUAGGGUAAAAGAAAGAGGGUUUGAAUAAAGAAAAUAGAAAGAACACAAAGAGAGAGAGGGAGAAUCGAACGAGAAGGUGAAAAGAAGAGGAGAAACACAAAGCUUUGGGAAAUUGCUUGCUUGAUUUCUAGUCUUCGGUGGAGGUAGCUUAUGGUUUCAUGCUAUUCGUAGUAAACUCUUAAUAGCGAAUGAUAUGUGUUAGUAGUAUUGUAAACCCUUCUAUAUGCUUAAUUGUAUGCUUGCAUGAAUGAUGUGAUUAUGUAAUUAUGAAUAAAUAAGCAUGAUGAAGUUAUUGAAUCCCAAAUCUUGAAAAGAAACCCUAAUCUACUUUGUUAAUGAUGAUGCCUUGGUAUAAAAGAAGGCUUGAUGAACGAAAGGGGUGAGAUUAGGGGAUCGGGUGCCACGUUUCGGUACCAGGAUAGAGAUAGAGGAUCGGGUGCCACGUUCCGGUACCAGGAUAGAAUGAGUAUCGGAGUGUCACGUUCCGACACCAGGAUAGUAUAUGGAUCGGGUGCCACGUUCCGGUACCAGGAUAGAAUGAGGAUCGGAGUGUCACGUUCCGACACCGGGAUAGUAUAUGGAUCGGGUGCCACGUUCCGGUACCAGGAUAGAAUGAGGAUCGGAGUGUCACGUUCCGACACCAGGAUAGUAUAUGGAUCGGAGUGUCACGUACCGACACGAGGGGAAUAAAUAUAAUGAAUCUUGUAAGAUGCUAAUAUACUCAAUUUAAUGAAACUAAUUCCCAAAUGAGUAUGGUAUUGAGGCUUGAGUCCUCACGUGUGAACUUGACGGUAUUUGUUAAUGAUAUAGUACUUGUUGUUGUUACAUGUUGAGUAUCAUAGUUGAUUUUAUGAUAUUGCUUAAUAUAUAUUGUUUUCUAUUUCGAGUUGGCCGAUGAUAUCUACUCAGUACCCGUGUUUUGUACUGACCCCUACUUUUAUGUUUUCUUCUUUGUUAUUUGUGGAGUGCAGCAAACGUGCCGUCGUCUUCGACUCAACAGUAAUUCAAGCCAGUCUUUACUACACCGGAAAUUCAGGGUGAGCUAAUGCUUCUAGCUUGGACUGGAUCUUCUUCUUCAAGUCUUGAUGCCUUGAACUUCCGGCAUGGACUAGCUUCUUAUGUAUUUUUAGCUUCUUAGACAUUUUUAGUUAGUAAUUUGAUCAUAGAUGUUCUUGUGAUGAUGACUUCCAGAUUUUGGGGAAUAAUAGUUAUUGAAUUGGUUUUUAUUUAAUGAGCUUAAGUCUUCCGCAUUAUUUUCUGUUGAUAUACGUUGAAAUGAUAAGGUUUAGAUUGGUUGAUUCACUUACAUAGGAGAGUAAAUGUGGGUGCCAGUCGCGGCUCGGUUUUGGGUCGUGACAGCAUAGAAAGCUAAGUAACUAAUUCAUACUUAUUGGUCAAAUUAAAUAGUCAAAAUAAAUAAAUUCAUGUUUAUUGAUUGAAAACUUGACUUCAAAAAAACAGUAAGAAUAGAAUAAAAUUUGCUUAAUUUCGUAAUACACAUAAAAUCUAAAAUAGUGACAUAUAAAUAUGAUCGGAGAGAGUAUAAGUUAAUUCUCUAUUUGUAUCAUACAAAUAGAGAAUCAAGAUUUUAUUAAUGAUUUUUCUUUUAUUUUUUGAUGUAAAGCGCAGUCAAGGCAGCGAUUUCACUUUAAUUUUUUUUAAUUUUCUUACAUAAAUCGCUGGCAAUUUCUCCAAUCUUUUUGUAAAUUUUUUUUAAUUGUGUCGUAAAGCGCUGCAAUUGCAGCGAUAUUUUUUUGCUAAAAAAAUCAAUAUUGUAAAUCGUCUAUGCAUGACUUUAUUGAUUUUUCUUUUUUUUUUGAACAAAUUUUUAGUGGAUUUUUUUAUAAAAUUGAAACUUCUUUUUUAACGUAAGAAAAUUAAAAAAAAUUAAACUGUAAUCGCUGCCUUGGCAGGGAUUUGUUGUAAAAAAAAUUUAUUUUAAAAAAGUGAAUUGUACAAAUUGGUGCUAUAGCAGCGAUUUUCCUUAGCGUCGGCAAACAAAAUCACUACAUCCUAAGCGAUUUUAUCGUUUUGGUUAUAAAAAAAUUCAUAUACCUGUAACGACCUGUUUAGUCGUUUUGAGCAGCAGAUUUUAUUCUGGAAAAACAGGCUGAGGCGACGGACCCAACGACGGACCAUCAUGGGCACGACGGACCGUCGCAGGGUCUCGUUUGAAAACACUUAGAAAAACUGAAAAUUGGAUACUGAAAAUCGACUCUUUGAACUUCGUAACGAAAUGGCAGGACGGACCGUCACAGGUAUGACGGACCGUCACAGACCAUUGGUGGAAAUUUGGGUCUCUGAACUUUGCGACGACCUGCAGGACGGACCGUCGCAGGCACGACGGCCCGUCACAGGUUGCGCAAUCCCAGUCCGGGUCGGAUUUCUUGAUACGUUUUAAGGGACGUUUUUGACUAUUCUUGCCUUAAUUAUAAAGUUAGUGGGUUAAUGUUAAUAAGUCUAAUUACUUGGGGGUUAAAAGAGGUAACCUUAAGUUAAUUAGUGGGGCAUUAUUGCCAUCUUUUAUUCUUAAUUAUAUGUUAAUUAGGGUAAAAGGAAGAGGGUUUUGAAUAAAGAAAAUAGAAAGAACAAGAGAAAGAGAGACAGAGAGUCGAACGAGAAAGAAGAGAAACAAAGCUUGGAGAAAAAUUUGCUUGCUUGAUCACUAAUCUUCGGUGGAGGUAGGUUAUGGUUUCUCUUACGAUAUUCGUAGUAAACUCUUAAUAGAGAAUGAUAUGUAUUGAUAAUAUUGUAAACCCUGCUAUGUGCUUAAUUGUAUGCUUGCAUGAAUGUAAUUAUAUAAUUGUGAUUAUAUAAGCAUGAUGAAGUUAUUGAAUCCCAAAUCUUGCAAAAUCCUAAUCUCUUUGUUAAUAAUGAGGCCUUGGUAUAAAAGAAGGCGUGAUGAACUAAAAUAAUGGGAUUGAUGAUGCCUUGGUAAGAAAGAAGGCUUGAUGAAUUGAUGGAAGGAGAUUAGGGGAUCGGGUGUCACGAACCGACACGUAGAAUUAGGGGAUCGGGUGUCACGAACCGACACGUAGUAUUAGGGGAUCGGAUGUCACGAACCGACACGUAGUAUUAUGAGAUCGGGUGUCACGAACCGACACGUAGUAUUAGGGGAUCGGGUGUCACGAACCGACACGUAGUAUUAGGGGAUCGGGUGUCACGAACCGACACGUAGAUUUAGGGGAUCGGGUGUCACGAACUGACACAUAGAUUUAGGGGAUCGGGUGUCACGAACCGACACAUAGAUUUAGGGGAUCGGAGUGUCACGUACCGACACAAGAGGAUUAAUGAAUAUUGAGGGAGCGGAGUGUCACGUACCGACACAAGAGAAAUAAAGAUAAUGAAUCUUGAAAGAUAUUAAUAUACUCAAUCUAAUGAACAUGAUUCCCAAAUGAGUAUGGUAUUGAGGCUUGAGUCCUCAUGUGUGAACUUGACGGUAAUUGUUAAUGAUAUAGUAUUUGUUGUUGCUACAUGUUGAGUAUCAUAGUUGAUUUUAUGAUAUUACUUGGUAUAUAUUGAUUUCUAUUUUGAGUUGGCCGAUGAUAUCUACUCAGUACCCGUGUUUUGUACUGACCCCUACUUUUAUAUUUUCUUCUUGUUUAUUUGUGGAGUGCAGCAAACGUGCCAUCGUCUUCAACUCAACAGUAAUUCAAGCCAGUCUUACUACAUCGGAAAUUCAGGGUGAGCUAAUGCUUCUAGCUUGGACUGGAUCUUCUUCUUCAAGUCUUGAUGCCUUGAACUUCCGGCAUGGACUAGCUUCUUAUGUAUUUUUAGCUUUUAGAACACUCUUAGUUUAGUCAUUUGAUCGUAGAUGUUCUUGUGAUGAUGACUUCCAGAUUUUGGGGAAUAAUAGAUGUUGAAUUUUAGAAGUUAAUGAAUUGGUCUUUAUUUAAUGAGUUUAAGUCUUCCGCAUUACUUUCUGUUGAUAUUAUAUUGAAAUGUUAAGGUCAGAUUGGUUGGUUCACUCACAUAGAAGGGUAAGUGUGGGUGCCAGUCGCAACCCGGUUUGGGUCGUGACAAUACCUUUUUGAAAUUUUUGUUAAUAUUUUUCACCCUUUAGCCUCUGUACUUGCAUGAAUUACAAUAUUCUUCCUAUUUUACUCUUGUGAAUAAUUAGCUUUGAAAGUAUAUGUUUGAUCAACCUAGAAAAACUAAGUGAAUAGUUUAUGUUCAUUAAUUCAAUUAAUUAAUAAAAAUAAAUUAAUUAAUAUUUUCUUGACAAAUUCCUAUUUGAUUUUUUAAUUUAAUUCAAAAUUUUCAAGUUCCAUGUUUCACUCUUUUCUUGACGAGUUUUGUAAUAAACUAUGUACAAGAAAAGCUGUAGCUAUAAAGAAAUCAACGUAGUACAAAAUUGAAAAUUGUAUUUCAUUAAGUAAAAAAAUAGAAGGGCUUAACAACAAAACAAACUAAUUAAAUUUUAACUUAAACCCCCUGAAAUAAUAAUAAUAAUAAUAAUAAUAAUAAUAAAACAAUACUACAACAAGAAUCAUCAACCACAUACAUAAUAAGAGAGAAUAGACAAACAAAAAUUUGGAUACAACGAUGAAAUAACUAUAGAUAAUACAAAUUUGGAUAUUCAUUAAACUAUAUAUAGUGAAUAUCCUGAUACUAUAUUGCCUAAUUCUCGUUUCUAGGUACAUCAUCCAUGACAAACACGCCUAUUGAAACCCUUCAUGGAGGCGUAUAUCGGUGCCCAAUCCUUUUAUAACGAGGCGUAUAUAAGUGCUAAACUGUAAUGUUAAGAAAUACUUUUUAAUUAGUUUUCUAAAUAUAAUUUAUUCCUUUAUUUCUUUUUGUGUUAAUACUAGAACUAGAAUAGAUCAAUUGAUGUUCAUAACAAAUUCCAACACCUCACUCAUAAUGAAAUUGAUCAUAAUUUAAAGUACUAAAUCAUGCUAAAUAAGUUAAGUAAGUAUUAGUUACAUGCCUAAAUAUUAAAAGAAAAUAAAAUUAGAUCAUGUAUUUUAAUUGUUUAAAUCUAUGUAAAACUAAAAAAUAAAUAUUCAAUAUUAUUGUCAUUCUUAGUGUUGAAUUGAUUCGUUUUUUGCAUUAUUAUUAAUUUGAUUUUUAUUUAAACUUUAUUAUAAUUACCAACAUGUAUGGUCUAUAAUCUUUAUUUGAUAAUUAAGAAUUCUAACUUCCAAACAUAAAAUAAAUAUAGUAAAAGAUAAAAACUGUGAAAAAAGUAUAAGAGAUAUUUAUUAAUUAUAUCAAAGUAAGUAUUUUUACGUAUAAAAUAAAAACUUUAAUUUAUAUGUAUAAUGUCGGGUUGGUUUGGUCUCGGGUUGAUUUAUUAUAGUUGAAACCAACCCAACCCAAAUAUAGUCGGGGUUUUUUUUUCCAACACAAAAUUGAGUCAAACCAAACCACUAGUCAGGUUUUUUUUCGAUUUGACUAGGUCUGCGGGUUUAGUUCAAUUUUCGAUUUGAUUUUAUACACUCGAUUUUGAUUUUUGUGAUCUGUAGUAAGAGAUAUAGAGCAAGUCUUUUUUCCAUUAAACUUAUUUAUUUUAUUUUAUUUUUGUAGGAAAGAAGGGGGACCUUGUAUAAUUUUUUUGAUUUAGAUUUGAUGUAUCUUUGUUAAAAAAGUGGGUUACAUACACUCCUAUUAUCAUAUAAACGUGAAUUACUUUAUAAUGAGCGAUAUAUAAAUUUUAAUAAAUUAUAAAAUUGAGGAGGAGUAUAUCAAGACUUUUUACGGACUUGCGUAUUUAGAUAUUUUAGAGAUUCUGUUAAUUAAAGUAGAAGAGUAGGUGAAUAUUGGUAUGUUGAAAACAUGUGCUAUUUAUACUCAUGAAUAGAAUAAUUAAGUAGUAUAUAAUUGUUUAGUUAAACGUGUUGGGAGCCGUGCAUGCAUAUAUAUAUAUAUAUAUGCAUUUCAUGACAUAUAUAAUAAUAUAAUAAUAAUAUUAUCCAAUCUCACCAUUUAUUUAAUAUAAUAUUACAUGAUAAUUAAGAGGGCACUUCAUUUAUUUAGGUGUGUGUGAGUGAGUGAUGAUGGAGUAGUCCUAGGUAAUAGUGACGGUUGCUAGAGAUGUAAGUAUCCCAAAAAUUGCUGCCAAAGUUUGACCAACCACAUUCUCAAGUAAGUUUCCAAUAAGGAUAACGGGAGCUACAAGGGUUCCUGUGGUUGGAGUCAAAGUGCAAUUAGCAAUUGGGAGAGGAAUCCUUGCAAUACAUGUUCCUGACAAAAGACUUGUAUUGGUGGACACUGCAGCAUUAAUAAUGCCUUGACUAUUUGUGGACACUUGAGCAAUCGUUGUGUUGCCACAAAUAAUCGUUACAUUUGCUCCACUCACUCCGACGCCUGGGGCAUUACUUCCCGGUACGGAGCAAGACAAACUCCCCAAUAUACUUAAAUUAACAACACGAUCAACAACAGGUGGUACAAUCGGUGGUACUUGACCACCAACAGGUGGUACAAUCGGUGGUACUUGACCAACAACAGGUGGUACAAUCGGUUGGCCAAGAAUAGGACUAAGAAUGGGACCAACAAUUGGACCGAGAAUAGAACCAACAAUCGGUAAUUGGCCAAGACCAACAGGUGGUACUUGACCAACGGGUGGUACAAUACGUGGUGCAGGUUGCCCCAAAAUGGGACCCACAAAGGGAAUGGGACCCAAAAUGGGACGAACAAUGAGACCCAAACCUUGAGCAUGGGCUAGAGGACUGAUGGUGAUGAUGGAAAGUAGAACAACAAGGGAAAC
rnacentral:lncRNA from 1 species